rnacentral:lncRNA from 1 species
UCUCACUAUGUGGGGGGGCUUCUACUGGAGUUGGGACAAGAGCAGGACUCGCGGAAGUUGUAGUUCCACUACUCACAAGAUGAGGUACCUCUUCGACCUUAGACGAAGAAGGUGGAGCCUCGGGAGAAGGUGUGGGAUGAGAAUGCUGGGCUGCCUCUAUCGAAGAUGGGAUAGGCACAGGAUCAUGUUCAAUCGAGCUACCGGGAAGUGAGAUUCAAAUCUAAACGAUCAAAAAAAUCAAACACAUUAUAACAGUGUAUUCAUCGUACAUGUCAUAACUCACACGAUGAAUAACAUAAAACCUCAUACCUCAAAACGGUCGUUCAACUGAUCGACAAUUCGAUCCUUCAGCCUUUGCAGUGAGUGCUGGAUAUGCUCAUGCAGUGACUGUGUCUGUAUCUACAUCACUCACUGGAUCUCCAACUGCAUUGACUGCUGGAUCUCUAACUGCAUUAACUACAUCUGCAUCUGCAUUGCCCGCUGGAUCUCCAACUGCAUUGACUGUUGGAUCUCCAAUUGCAUUGACUGCAUCUGCAUCUGUAUAUUCAUCUGUAAGGACUGGAAGUCUUUCUUCCACUAUGUCCGCAUCUUUUGUAGCUCUCCCUUAAUAUUCGUAGUCAUUUGUGGAUGCAGCGCCCAGUUGCGCAUCUCAGCAUGAGGGGUCGUACCCGAAGCAAGAGGAGGGGCAGCAAAGAAGCAAGACGAUCAGCAACAGGAGUAGUAGCAUGAUGAGCAGCAGGAGAUGCACCAUGAAGAGUUGCACCGGGAGAAUGAGGUGCCCCAGCAGCACCUCACUUGGAAUAGACAUCCUCGUCCGCGGUGCCUCUCCGCUUAACGGCUCGUCGUACUAGACUUUUUCCUUUACGAUUCAUUAUUUUCCUCUUUUGUUGGGGACCGAAUUUUGGCCGACCCUCCAACUUUCAUAAUGGAAUGUAUUGCUGCCCCUCGGAGAUAUUGACCUCAAUGUCCGCCCAGUAUGCAGUCAACAUAUCUUCUGUCAUUGGCUCCAAUGUCCUUACUGCCCAUAACUGCACCAAAACAUACAUUGUCAUUAGGUAUAACCCUUGCUACCCUAUGACAAUCAAAAUAAAAAUUAAUAAAAUAAAAAAAAUAUGGUUUUUUUACUCACCUUGCCCUCUCUCUCCAAACUUGCAAUAUUGGCGUGGAAGCUUGAAGGCCUCUCUUUACAUUGCCAUUUAAGCAUUCUUAACCAAAUCUAUCCGGACUGCGGCUGCCUUUCGAACAAGCUUCUGAUUUUAGGUAUUACUUCCAAUGCCCAAAGCUGCACAUCAAUUGCAUAACAUUUUUACUCACCUUAUAAAUUCUUAUGCAAACAGAAUAAUGAUAAUGAUAAACAUUAGGCUAUGGCAGACUACCUGAAACACCCAUAUGACUCCGUAAAGGUGGUAGCGCUUCUUCUUUGCUUUGCCCGUAGCAAGAGGUUCGAAACCCCUCAGUAGGUAAUCCACGGUCAGACUCCACACAUAUGUGCCCCAUGGGAAUGCAUUCCACUCGUUGAUGUUCUCGACCAACGACAACAACCAUGGAACCACAGAUCGUCUGUAGUCUUGACCGAAUAAAACAUUCGUCGCGAUCAAGAUGAGGGCCAUCUUGCUCGUGUUUCCCUCCUGCUGAAACUGCCUUCCCUUCAACGUAUCUAAAACCUAUUGGAUCUUCACCUCCUUCCCUGGUCCCAAUAUCUUAGGUGAAUUCCUCCAGGAAGGGCCUCGUAUCGAUUGACAAUGAGGGUUGGUAGGGGACCAAACUUCAGUCUUGUGACCAGACAGAACUCCCUCUUAGAAAAGUGAGCUUUUGUUUUCCCUAUUGUGAACCAUAACUUUGCCUCUGUGGCAUCGGGUUCAUUGAUUUUGCGCAGCAUUAGAUUGUGCACUAGACUGGCGCAGAAUAAACCAUCGUCUGCUUCGACAUCCAUCAUGUGCCCGAAGCAUGUUCUCUUAAAGUUUUCCAGCUCAUUCACUUGACACAGCAUCUCACGUAUCACGUGUAGAUGCGACCACUUAUAGUGGAUGUUAAUGGGCGCAUUGAACCCCCACUAGUGCCUUGGCACACAAAGCAAGGACUCCACGUUUUCCUACUCUGUUCCUGUGCUGCCAUCUGCAACAUAAAACAGAUAACAUUCCCAUUUUAGUCAUGUCAAUACCAUCAUUGUAGAUUAACAAAAAAAACUAGAGGAAUUUUUGAAAAAUGACCAUCCUCAUAAGCUCACUCAAAAAAUAACCCUAACAAUAUUUUUUAUUGUUUUUAGACAUUCCUGAAACAGAAUAAUUAAUCCAAGUGUGGAGCAUGGAUUAUUAAGUAAAUCAACAUAUACACAUUAAAGCAUUACAGUUGACCCAAAAUAAUAUAGAAUGAACCCAUGCAGAUAAAUUUCAUGCAGUUAUGACACUCAUGCAAUUUCCUACAACAAUAGUCACGCAAUGCCUAAUCAAUUAGUCACGCAAUUACUAACAUUAAAUCACGCAAUGAUUUAUAAACAAGUCACGCAAUUCUAAGAACAACUAAUCGAGUCAUGCACACACUAACUGACGCCAUGCUUGAACAAUAUUCACGCAAAACAUAGAAACCAGUCACACAUUGACUUAUCAAUCAGUCACGCUAAGUUGAACCCUUGUUCAAUCACGCAACCCCAACGUGACCCCAUGCCAAAAUCCGUUCAUGCAAAAGGUGUCAACCACCUAAGCACGCCCUAACUCACGCAACAUCUAAACCCUCAACCGAAUUCCUAACACAUACAUAUCAACCAGUCAUGCAUGGCUGGUCACCUUUCCACCCCUAAACAUUAACAAUACCACCUUCAUGUUUAUAUUCAAAAAUUUCAAACAACAAAAAUAUCAAUAUGAACGUGCAACAUGUAUAGGUUUAUGCUAAAAAACCUUAACCCUAAACACGAUCAAUAACCAUUUUGUCAAAAAGUUCCACAUGAUACAAAAUAAAAUAAAUAAAUUCAUAAAAAAAUAUUAUACCUUUCUCAACGUAAUGUCAACUUCCUCACACUGCUCAAUAUGUGAACUACCUUUGUACGAAUAAUAACCACUCCAAAAGGCUCCUACCACUGCCAAAAUGCUCCGAAGUUGAACUAUCGAGGAAUGCUUUUGCAGACUUGCUUCUGAGGAUAUGUACGGUCUCUCGAUGAAAAUCGAAGAGUUGUGGUCCACAUAAAGGAUAUACUUGACCCGUUAAUAGGUUUCGGGUUGAGAUGCGGAGCCUAACGAAUGAGUCGGUUUCAUUAAGGAUAAUUUUAUCAUUUUUUUUCUCUUGAUUAAAAAUAGUUAAAAUUAUAAAGAAAACCAUUCUCAAAAACGUCUUAUCCCUGAAGUCCAUUUAUGAAAAGCACUCAAGCUCAAACUAAGUUACAAAAAUAAGGGCCCAAAAGCAGCCUGCAUUUAAUAGACACAGCAAGGCCCUCGAGUAAGCCUUAAGAUCAAAUUCAAGUUACACUUAUCUGUAAUUUGUUGUUAAAAUCUUAAAAGUUAAUACAUAUAACCAAUAUAAUUCAAAUGAGGGAUAUAUAGGCUUGCGCAGUCCUAGUCAAGCCGCCCGAACCGCAGACGGCUCCUAAUUGGUUCAUUACAUACCGACAAUUGCCUUAUGAUAUGCUUUAGCAGCUCGCAUCUAGCACCGUUUAACUAUGCUGUUUUUGGCUGUUCUGUCUGUUAUUACUUAUUAUUAGUGAUUCUUAUCAGAAUGUGUUGUACGUAUUCAGCUAAGACUUCGUUUUGAUCGCCAAGCCAUCUUUGGAAUACAAUGUAAUUAUCUAUAUAUUGAUUCUCUAGCUAAUACUUCAUGAACUCUCUAACAGUGAACAAAACCGCGACAACCGAUUAGCAAAAUGGAGCGUCUUCCUCAGGAGAUUGUUGUCGACAUACUAUCAAGGCUUCCCAUUCCAAGUUUAGUGCAAUCCAAGUCCGUGUGUCGAGCCUGGCGUAGCUUGAUACGAGAUCUAGUGCUUGUCAACAAGCAUAUCUGGCGCAUGAUUCAGAACGAUCCAAGUUUCAUUUUACAAAGCUAUAACCCCAUGCAAAACCAGCUUUAUUUUGGAGAUUUCUCUAGUCAAAACGAUGGAAACGUGAUCAUGAAGAAACUUGCUAUACCACCCCUGCCUAAAUUCCAUGUGGUAGGAUCAUGUAAUGGAUUGCUAUGCUUGCAUACGUCUCAGCAAAGCUUUGAAAUCUGCAUUUAUAAUCCUUUUACCCGGGAUUAUACAGAGUUGCCAAAGCUAACAGAGCACCCUAGAUAUAAUGUGGGAGUGCGAGGAUUUGGUUUCGAUCUUACCACAAAGGAAUACAAAGUUGUCGAGAUAUCAUAUCAAAUAAGAACUUGUGGAGGCUCCUUUCCCCGUAUUGCUUGAUCUACUAAUUCUAUCAUUCGAGCUCCGGUUACUUCACCUGAUCCAAUUGAAGCGGUGGUUCAUAUUUUAACUCUUGGUAGCCCCACAUGGAGAAAUUUAGGAACCGUGCCAUUCCAUUUGAUGACGUCGCAGCAAUCUCAGGUUCUAAUCAAUGGGAAACUUCAUUGGGUUGCUUAUCCUAACAGAAAUGAAAAAAAUAAUCCUAUUAUAUCCUUUGACCUGGCAACUGAGCAAUUCCAGGAGGUCCCUAGGCCUGAUUGCAUUAGCUUGUCCGGCAGGCGAUUUGAGCAACUUGUGGCUCUACGAGGUUGUCUCUCCUCGGCCUCUUAUCAUGAUGAUGAUGAACGGUUGGAGAUUUGGGUUAUGAAGGAAUAUAAUGUCAAGGAGUCUUGGAGCAAAGAAUUUAGCAUUGGAGCUUACGUGCCACCAAUUUUGCAACAAGAUGAUACGUUCAACAAUUCAAGGUUUUAUAUGUAUAAAAAAUGCAUGCGAGUCUUAUGGCAGUUGAGAAGUGGGGAGAUCUUGUUCGAGUGCAGAAAUAAAGCACUUGUUCUCUAUGAUCCCCAUUGCAGAACAUUCAAGGAUCUUCAUCUUACAUUUGAAGGAAUUUCAAAGUAUUUCAAAGUAGUUGUUCAUGUUGCAAGCCUCAAUUGGAUUAAUACCUUCAUCAACACCUGAAGGGUGAAAUCAUAAAAGAAAAAAAAAACAUGUUUUUUUACUUUUGUUAUAUGCAUGGAUUUGUGGAGGAUGUGAAUGGCAAGUUGGCACCAUCACUUUGGGAAUAGUUACUCCACAAAUCCAUGGACUUAAAACCUUUCUUCUUGAUGAGAUUGAUCUUUGCUUUUAUGUUCAUCCACUUGUACUUUGUACGUACCUUUGCACUAGUUGCUGAAUUUAUAAGUUUUUGAUCAUUUUCUAUACCUGAGGGAUUACACCAAUAUCCUCAACAAAUUCCACUUAGAUCAUAUAUUCAUCUAUGCUAAUGUCCACACUCAGCUAAAGAGGCAGGCGUAGUGUUGGAUGUUAUUUAGGCAAUUAGGUGCUUGAGAUGUUCUCUACCAGUAUUUGCUACUUAUUUAUCUUCUUCGAGUUAAUAGGUGCUUGGAAUAAUUGAUUAUUUUUUUCCUAAAAUAUGCUAGAGCCCAAACCAUCAAUCAAAAUAAUCCAAGUAAAAGAGAUUAAACUUUCUCACUAGAAGUUUUUAUUAUUCAAACACAUUGUCAUUAUUUUAAUUUAUUUUCAAAUUCAAAUCAUUUAACUUCCUAAAAUAAACCAAUAGGUUUAUGACAAAGGGGUUAAAAACUAAAACCAGCCAUCUUACUGGAGUUCUCCUUAUCCCAAAGGGGUUAAGCCAAUGGAUUUAACUUCCUAAUCAAUGAGAAGGGGAAUUUAGUUAAAAUUUUCAAUAGAAAUUAAGUAAACAAGUUUGAAAAAUCAUAUCGUAUUCAUUGAUGAAUAUCUUUUCUUCUCUUUCUUUCUUUUGUUUACUUAUUGAAGACAAAAUAACAUAUUCAAUUAAAUCGAUUGAGGUGUACCAAAAAUUGAUUAAAAAGUUAUAUUUAUAUGGAAAAUUAAAUUCAUUUUACGAUUACUAAUGAUAAAAUAUAUUUUGUCAUAACUGGUUGAAAUAAAGAUUUAAAUAUAAUAAUAAUGAUAAAACUUACUAUUGCAAUUGUUUUCUUCAAGAUAACAAGUAAUUAAGAGCAAUGUAUAACUCCAAUUGCUUGUCUUUUCUUUUGUAGACCAAUACUAUAAUUGAAAAUUUUCAUUGACGUCACCAAAAAUUCAGUUAUGCUUCUAGGCCCAAAAGGCACUACUCUCUGAAGUUUCGUUUCCUAUUCUGAUUGGAUCAAAAUGGGUUACCCUCGUGGCCCCGUUUCUUCCACCACCCACCCACCCGCCAUUUCUCUUUCCAUCUUUGGGAACGAAAGAAGACAAGAGAAUAGCUAAACAUCUGGCGUGGCUCCACCUCGCCUAGGAAAUACCGAAAAUGGAACAUAAUAGAUGUAUAUGUCAAGUGUUUAGAACAGAACAGCAGAGAAAAACGCACCCCUAAGAACAAACUUCUACAUAGCCAAAGAAACCUUAAUUCCUGUUGAAAUUCAUUGCCUUGUUCCGAUCGUGGAAUAUGUUCUCCAAAUAGGUACGUUGACCGUAUGAAAUCAGUUUCCUUCUGUUCUAACUGAUCUUCACCAUGUUGAUUAUUCGAUAGCACUUUUCAGUUUGUCUUUGGAAUUUGUUUGAAUCAUCUGCUUAUUACGUUUUAUUUUCUGUAUUAAAACUGGGUUUAGAUAAGCUGAAUUCUUUUUGUGAAUGAUCGAGCUAGUGAAGGGGUUUCAGCCGCUGAACAUGUCGAUCAACUACUUGACAUAAUUUUCCAAUUUAGAGUCAGUCCAAAAGGGUCUUUGAUCAGAUGCUGACAAUCUUUUUCGUUUGUAAGGGGUGAAACCAAAAACUGCAUGAGUAGAAAACCUUAUUAGCUCAGUCUUCCAGACUUUAGGUGCAAAUAAUUGGCAUUCCAUUCCUUGGUCUCCUAAUAAUCCCGGUGACUGAUAUCUUUGUGUUAAAUGGUAUAUUACUCGUUAAGGGAGAGUGAUCGAGUUGGGGUCUUUUGUUUUAUUUAAUUAUUUCAAAGGGGGAGACGGUUUUUCUGGUUGUUUUUUUGGUAUGGCCUGACAUUGUAGUUUUAAAAACACUCGAUGUGAAAAUAAGCAUUGCUGGAUGUGAAGAAUGCACCCUAUAUGAGUAGUAAGGAGCAACAAUACUUAGACAGGAAUUCAUAUGAUCAGAAGAUGAUCUUGGCCAUGUUAUAAAGUAAGACAUGUGAAUAACAUUUUUUAGUUUCAUGUAGGUAUAAAUAGUGACGUUGUUAUUUUAUUUCCAUAUUGUUUUUAUUUUCAUUUUUUAAUACAAGGGAUAGCUGUAAUGACCGAUUUAUUAUUUUGCUUGAUUCCAUAACUUGAGAAGGCAAAUAUUUUACAAUGAGAUGUUUCUUUGGUGAAUUCCAUACUUCCAUACAGUACUACUAUGUCAUUGCUCAUUACAUUUUUCUGUUUAAUCAAUAGGUUGAUGUUGUCGAAGUGCAGUAUGUUUAACUAUUGAUCACCAAGCCGUUUACAGAUAUUGUGCCUUCUAAAUUUCUACUUAUUAAUGUACUUACUUUUCUUAAAAACAGUUUAAAGAAAGAACAAACUUGUAAUGCAGACCAACUAGAAGGAUGGAGUGUCUUCCUCAGGAUGUUGUCCUUGACAUACUAUCUAGGCUUCCUAUAACAUCUUUGGUGCAAUCAAAGUCUGUAUGCCGUUCGUGGAGAAGCAUAAUACAAGGCUCACUACUUGCUAAUAAGCAUUUAUCACACAUGUCUGAUUAUGAUCCAGGCAUCAUCUUUCAAAGUCACUGGCCCAGCCAAAACCAGUACUACUUUGUAGAUUUUGCUGCUUACCCUGAAGGAAACAAAAUCUUAAAGAAAAUUUCAUUUUCAACAAAGCAUGCUAAUUUGGUAGGUUCGUGUAAUGGCCUGCUAUGCUUCUGCAAUGCUUCACAAAUCCACAUUUGCAAUCCUUUAACCAAGGAUUCGAUAGAGCUGCCAAAAUUGUUGAAGGGUCCAGGAGAAGUGGGAAUUUUAGGAUUUGGUUUCAGUCCAACCACAAAAGAAUAUAAACUGAUUGAGAUAGUUUAUCAAAGAAAAAGGCCUGGAGUCUGGUCCCAUGUUGCUGUGUCUAAUCCAUUUCAAGCUGAGGUUCGAAUUUUAACUCUUGGUGGCUCCAGAUGGAGAAGUUUAGGGAUGGUACCUUACAGAUUUAUUCGGCAACCAUCACAAGUUAUGGUCAGUGGGAGACUUCAUUGGAGAUCUCAACUUGGAAAAUACAAUAUUGAUAACCAGCUCAUAUCGUUUGAUUUAGCAGCUGAGACAUUCCAGGAGGUCUCUAAGCCUGAUUGCAGGAGCUUUAACAGGGGUUUUUAUGAACUGAUUAAUCUUCAAGGUCAUCUCUCUGCAGCCGCUUCCAAUGCUAGUGGGGGAUUAGAGAUUUGGGUUAUGAAGGAAUAUAAUAUUAAAGAGUCUUGGAUCAAAGAAUUUAGCAUUGGAGGUUACCUGCCAAAAGAAUUACAACGGAUCAAUGCAAGGAUCCAUUCCCCUAGAUCAGUUUUUCGAGCCAUAUGCCGGUUCAGAAGUGGUGAGAUCUUACUAGAGCAUAGAAGCAAAGCACUUGUUCUCUAUGAUCCGGUGCAUGAAACGUUCAAGGAUCUUACAUUUGAAGGAGCCCCGAACUGGUUUAAAAUGGUUGUUCAUGUUGGCAGCCUCAUUAGUAUCUAGGUACUAACAUAACAAAGAAACUGUUGUUUUCUGUGAGUUUUCUUCUUGUUGAAACUAAACUUUGCUUUUCCUAUAAUCUGUACUGCCUUUUAAAUGGUUGUUAAACUAAGGAGUUUUCUUGCAGUCUUUAUUUUCUAGGAUUACAUUGAUGCUUUCGAAACUCAUCCAUCUUAGAUUCUACUGCCUGUUGCGUAGCUCUUGAAGCAUUUUUCUACUGUCCCCAACUGCCCCUUGUUAUGGUUAAUUAAUUAUUAUGACUUUCUGAAUUAACCAGUUAAUGAAUUCAUCGUUAUGCUCCUAGACUCAAAGCCUAACUGGGAUCAGCGACCUAUUAGCCCACCACUAUGUGCUUGGGAGAUAGACGACCCUUUUCCAGUAAGGUUACGUGUUACCCAGUUUACAAUUUGCACGAACACGCAAAUCAGUUUCCCGCAAACCAGCUACAAAGGAAUCUCGCGUGCUUGAACCGGUUUCCGUAACAUUCUCCGCACUAAUGAAAUCAUUACAGUGAAAUGCAAUCAGGAUCAUCCGCUCAUUUCUGUGAACCAUGUUGGCAUGUAUCUAGAUGUCCUUUUCCUUAGGAAUACGAUAGCUGAAAGCGAGUUCAAAAGAAGCAGGUUUGCAACAACAGACCAACCAGCAAUAAGGAGCAUCUUCUCAGGAUAUUGUCCUUUACAUACUGCCUACGCAUCUUUGGUGCAAUCAAAAGUCUGUAUGCCAAGCUUGGUCAAGCUCAACAGGUAGCCUGGUUCUUUUUAACAUAAGCAUUAUCAGCUAAGGUUGACAAUGAUCCAGGAUUGACCGUACAUGAUUUGUCCUUCCCAAAUCAGCUCUCUUAUAAGAUUUUUUUGGCUAAUAAGAAAGGAUAUUAACUUGAUACUGAAGAAAAUUCCAUCCCAGCAAUCUAUGCUUAGGUAUAUUUUUGUGGGUCAAUGCAAUCACUUACUAUGCUUCUAUGACUCUUCCAAAUGCAAAGUAUCCUAGACAUGUGGGAGUUCUAGUAUUUGGUGUAUAGAUAAGUAUAACCAAGGACAAAGGAAUAGAAGGUUGUCGAGAUAGCAUGUAAAAUAUAGCACAUACAUUACUUGAUGCAGUUUGAGGUUCGCAUUUAAGUGGCUGGGAGUCCUGAUGGAGAAAUUGAGGAGCAGUACCUUACCAUCUUCUUUCAGCAGCAAUCGUAGGUAAUGGUCGUUGGGAGACUUCAUCACCUUUUUCGAGAAAUUCCACAAAAUCCUUAAACCUGAUUUUGAACGGUAAGAAUGAUACUAUUGUUAUGAAAUAUAAACUAAGAGAAUAAUUAUAAAAAAAGUAUUUUGAGAAAAUAAGAAGAUUUUAUUGAAAUGUGUAUUUAUAAAUGAAGCGAGAGACCUAUUUAUAAAUUAAUAAUCCAUUCUCUAGAUAGAAUUUACAAAAUAAAAGUAAUACUAAAAGAAUAGAUUGAUAGAUUAAAUUCUAAUCUUAAUCCAAUUUAAAUAUACAUAACAAAAUGGAUAUUCACAUAUAUGUUCAUAAUAAUCCUCUUGAAUAUUUAUUUUAUUAAGAAUACGUAUAGCUAUAACCUUUCAAGGAAAAAAACCUUAUGAAAAAAAAUCCGAGUGAAAGAAAAAGAGUAUAUAAUACUUUUAAAGAAUAUGCUUUUGAAAUGCUAUCUCAUUAAAAACUUUAUCAAGAAAAACUCAGUGAAAAAAACCUUAAUGAAAGAAAAGAGUAUAAUAUAUUUUUUAUUCCCCUGAUGAUUGCAUUAUUUAAGAUCUUUAAAACGACGUAUUUAGAUUUUUAAAGUAAUACAUUCCAAUCUUUUGUACCAACUAUUCAAAUGUCGUAGUAAAAAGCACUUUGGUGAAUAAAUCUACUAAAUUGUUACUUGAACAAAUUUGUUGAACACCAAUAUCACCUUUUUUUUGGAGAUCAUGAGUGAAGAAUAAUUUUAGCGAAAUAUGUUUUGUUCUAUCGCCUUUGAUGUAUAUUUUCAUUAACUAUGCUAUGCAAGUAGUAUUAUCUUUAUAUAAUGUUGUUGGAAUUUCAUUUUUAGUUGACAAUUCACAUGUUUCUUAAAUAUAUUGAGUUAUAGAUUUUAACCAAAUACAUUUAUAAUUUGCCUCAUGAAUUGCUAAAAUUUUUACAAGGUUCGAAGAAGUAGCAAACAUAGUUUGUUUUACAAAACACUAUGAAAUAAUUGUACCUUCACAUGCAAAUAAGUAACUUGUCUGAAAUCGAGUUUUGUGUGGAUCAGAUAUAUAUUCUGCAUUUGCAUAAUCAAUUAAAGUGGAUUUUGGUACAUUUGAGUAAUAUAAGCCUAUAUCCAUUGUUCCUUAAAGAUAUCGAAGCAUAUGUUUAAUUUCAUUCUAAUGUCUUUGAGUUGGAGAAGAAUUAUAUUUGCUAAUAAAUUUACAAUAAAUAAUAUAUCAGGUUGUGUAUUACUAACAAGAUAGAUUAAGUGCUAUAAUUGCACUGAGAUAUGAUACUUUGGACCAAAAGGUUCAUCAUCCUCAUGAGGUCGAAAAUGGUGUUUUUUCCAAAAAGUUCAAACCAUGACGUGUCACAUAUUCAAGACAUGACAUGUCACAUGUGCUCACCAUGCUGUGUCACACGAUCCUAACUUGCUUUGCCACAUAUUCUCAUCAUAUUGUGUCACACAUUCCCACCAUGUCGUGUCACAAACUCUGAAUCUUGCUGUGUCACAGUCGUGCCACAUAUUCUUAACGUGUCGUCUCACACAUUCUCACCCUACUGUGUCACAGAUUAUCUCCAUGACGUGUCACAAACUCUGAAUCUUGCCAUGUUAGAUAUGCUCACGAUGUCGUUUCACAUAUGCUCACCAUGACGUGUCACAUUCUCACACUGGCAUGUCACAUAUUCUCACCAUUUUGCCUCACAUAUUUCUUCUAAGUCAUGUCACAUAUUCUCACCCUAUCGUGUCACAUAUUCUCUUCAUGGUGUGUCACAAACUCUAAACCUUACCAUGUCACAGCCGUGUUACUUAUUCUUACCAUGAUGUAUCACACAUUCCCAUCAUGUCGUGUCACACAUUCCCACCAUGCCGUUUCACAAACUUUAAACCCUGUCAUGACACAACUGUAUCAUAUAUGACCCGCUGUAGCACAACCAUUUCGUGUUUUAGAUUCACAUCUUCCUCCUUUCGAUUCACCACUGUAUCAGAAAUUUCUAAUUUUACAUCAUUUUCGAAGUUUUGGAUUCAUCACGACAUGUUCCUCAUUCGGUUUAAUAUCAUCCUUCUUGUAUUAUUUAAACGUUAUGUCUAAAAUAUCUGAAAAAUCACCUCCUGUAAUAUGAUUUUGUUUGUUUUGUUUUGCACAAGCUUCUCAAAACAAAAAUGGAUGUUUUUGCGCAAAAUUAAAGAGAACAAAUUCUUUACAUAUUUAUUUUCCCUAAUAUGCGCGUGUAUGAGAGUAUGCGUCAAUGAAUAUGUCUCAUUAAAGGAAUUUCUGUCUUAAAAUCUUUUCUUUUGGCUUAAAAUAGUUAAAAUUAUGUGAAAGGUUAUUUUUAAAAACACCUUAUAUUUUAGGACUAAAAAAAAAAUUACCUUCAAAAAAAGGUGGUGAAAGGACUCUUUUGUUCGUGAGCCUUGAGCCAUCAAGUGAUUGCUUUCUCCACCGUGCUUGGCCUUGAGUAACCCGUUCUUGCUGUGUGCACUACUACCUUGUGACACCUCUUUCAUUGAAGAUUUGAGAACUUUUUCUUCUUCCGAAAACUUCAGGGGUAGCCUUGUGACCAUUAAUCUCCAUCUCUUCCUUUUCUGGUAUAUUAAUGCCCUCACGCACUAAGAUGAGGAUUCUGGCGAAAUCGAAGCGCUCAAGGUUGGUGGUAGCGCUACAAAUUUUGAUAACCCUCCUUUAUAAUCUACCAAUUCUAUUGAACACCUUUCUAUGCCAGAGAUGGAUUGGGAGGUUUUCAAUUUUGACCUAUUUUAGUUUCCCUUUCUCAUCAUCAAAGUAAAGAAAGGGGGAAAUGGGAUCGAACUAAAUGGAGAACAUAUCUAGGUAGUUCUUGAGGAUUAUUUUCAUUUCCUGUUCAUCCCUAUAAGUAAUGAGAGUUUUUAAUUCACCCAAAGUUUUGAUGUAGAGAGAGAUUCCCUCAUAAAACAGUCUUGAUUGUAUUAGUUUAAUGGAUAAGUUUUCCCACAUUAAAGCAACUACAUUACGUCUGACCCAUUCCAUGUCAUUUUCUGGAAUAUGAACAUUAAUACCAGUCGGCUCCUUUUGUACCUUUGUCAUAAGCUUCUCAUUAAUGAUCUUUUGCUUCGCUCUGGAUUUGUUUUCCCUGAGCUUUAAGAGGUCAAUGCUUCUUCAUUCGACAUCUUAACUCCCUCUUUGCCUUGCAGAUAUAAAAUCGAACUUGAACACAUAAAAUUUAAAGGUUGUAAUCGAUUCACAAGUUGAGUUUUAAUUUUGAACUUGAAACUUUAAGCUUUAAUUUCUCUCACUAAAAAUCAAAUCAAACAUUUUUUAUAAUAAUAGGCAUGAGACAUAAUUUCACAUUUUUAAAAAAUUUAAACAGAGAAAGAUUUUUGAAUAGUUAUGUUUGUUCAAAUUAUUAUAUUUGUUGAAACACUUAUAUUUAUUCAAAAUGUUGUCUAUAAAAAAUAUAUAUUUUUGUUUAUAAAUAACACUUUCUGAUUUCCUAAAAAUAUACAAAAACAGUUUACAAUCACUUUCUCCUUCUUUGUGAAAUACUUUUUAAAUUAUUUUUAUACUAUUUUGUUAGAAAAACAUUACAAUAAUUUGAUAAUUUUAUCAUAUGAUAAUAAGUGUUUAAUGAUUGAUUUCGUAAGUAUAAAACAUAGCCAAUCAUUGAAUUUUAUUGUAAUUCUUGAAAUUCAUCAAUUAUUACCCUUUUGUACACCGAUACGGAUAUAAAUAAAGCUUUAAAAAUAACGCCAUUGAUACAUGCCUUAAAAUCUUUCUCUAAUAUUUUCGAUUUUCAAGUCCUAUGUUCUAGCAAGUGAGUUGCGGUUGGACAAAAGUAAUUUUCAAGUUUUCUGCCUGUUAAAAGGUGGUGGGGCCUCAUUGGAGUAUGGAUGCGUAUGACUGGUUUCGUAGGGGCUAUGAUGUAGAACAUCGAAGGAUCUUAAAUCUCAAGGAAUGCCUAACUGGUUUGACACAACCAAUCUUGUUGGUGGCCUUAAUAGAAUGAUUGAUACCUUUGUUAGACAUGUGAGCAGGAAAAUUUUGAAGCAAAAUGCAUCUUCUGCUGUCAGUUUUUGCCCACUUUGAUGGCUAACUUAAUAUGGCUGUGCACCAAACUGAGUUAUUGCUACUGUAAAUUCAUUUACAACCUCAAUUUCUUUCUGGGAUAUCACCAUCGCCAUGCCAGAUUCUCUUAGGAGAAGGUGAACAAUUGAAAUGUUGAAAAUAUAAAAGAAAGAUUCAAGGCGAUGCGACAAUUACCCACCUUCGCCGUUGCCUGCGGCAAAACAAUCGGCUCUUGCAUGCUGAUUGGCUUGCUAUUUACUAGCUCAGCUUUUCCAAAUAGUCUCUGCCACACGCUGCAGCAAAACUUGUACUAGCAGUAGUAUAGCUUGAGCUUUUGUGCAUGCCGUUAUAACACCUUUUCUGUAUGGUUUUUUCCCAAUUUACUAUAACCUUGGAAUUGUUUAUACAGAAAAUAUACACUGUUUUUGCAUCUAAAUGUCCAACACUGCAUCUUUAUCCACCGUGGCAUUGGUUUUUUUCCCCUUUCUUUUUCAUCCUGUCCUGUGCACGGCAGUUUUGGUAGUGUUGAUGAGCAAGAAAAUGGUGUGUAAAACUGUACAAGCACAUGGUUGCAUCUUUCUGAAGUGACCCUGAAAUUUUGUUUGACGAAAUUUCAAAGAAAGUCUUGGGGUAAUAGACGGGCUAAAGUUAAGGCACGUACCGAUCAAAUGGCUUUUGAAAUGACCACAGCUUGGCCUGGAAGCAAAUUAAUCAAAGGAUCUCAUCAUAUUCUGUAUGGUACCCUGCAAAGUCUAGCUCCCUAGCACUUUUGGCCCGCUGAAAUCUCAUUGAACACAUUGAACCCUUUAGUUCACAAAUAAUUUCUUGGAAAUAUUGUUGCAAUUAUCUUUUUUUUUUCCUAUCAAAUUGAGCAUUUAUUUUAAACUCGGAUGUUUGGUACAUAUGACAGCAAGAAAUAAAAGAUUAAUAUAAUCAGAGCAAAAUGAGAUUUUCAUACUGUGAUAAAUAUUUGGUCAAAACUGUGAGAUAAAAUUUUGUUUACCGAAGAAAAAAUAGAUUUAAUAGAGAGAACACAAGACUGAGUCAUGCCGUGUUGGGCAUGAGGUAAGCCACAUGAAUCGUGACUGAACAUUUUCUCUUAUUUUAUUUAAUUUUCAUUUUUUGGAAGAGGGGGAUAAAAUCAUGGCUCUUUAUUCGCCUUGAGGGCCUAAUGCUACCUUUUUGUUGUAGAAACAGCAGCAGGGAGGUAAUUUCUUGGAUCACCUUCGUAGUAUUUCCAAGAAAAGAUAUGACCCAUAUUGUAAAAUAAACGGCUCUGUGCUAUUUAUUUACUAGCAGAUGCAAAGUGCAACGAAACACAUAGAAAUCAGUAAUGUUACUAUACCUGUUGUAAUCUUCCUGGAAGCUAAUUCUCAACAUGUUCUUCCAAACUCUGGAAUCCAACUUUUCAUGGAUCUAGUGCUUUCAGCUUCCCUCGCUAGACUUUACAACAAGGAUACAAACAAAGCAGAAAGUUACGGGAACUUUCGGGGUUCGUUUAGCUAUUUCUCAGUCUCAUCUUUUACUUCCAUUGCCACACAUAUCAUCACGUCAUUUUAUUAUUUGUUGUGUUUUUUUUUUUUAUUUACCUUGAAUUUAUCGUCUUGAGUGACUCUUAUUUUGUAUUUUUGGACCUUUAUAAUUAAAAGGGGCCCUUUGUAAAAAGUCUUAUUGAUCGGUAUGAUCACUACCAGCACUUUUUGAACAAAAUCCUUUUGCGGGGGGAGGGCAGAUACAUACAGAGGCAUCUGUCUUUUGAAGAAGAAAGCAAGAGAAAAUAAUAUUUGUUUAUUGCUAUUCCUUUAUUUUAAAUUUGUCAAAUUUUUUACCUUCAAUUUUCAAGACUUAAUGUUGCAGGGUCACUAUCAGUAGGGCCAUCUUUGCAUUGACAUGGAAUUGAUUCAUAAAAUUUGCUUUUUCUGCAUUCAUAUUUUGGCCAUAUAUGCUUAAUUGGACGGUGCAGAUUGUUGUGUCUAUCAAUUCCCUUUUGCUUUGUCCCGGUAAUCAAUGGAAAAAUUAGAACUUUUCUACAAGGGAGUUUGUUCAAUGAUGGGUUGCUAUAGAAACACUAAUUAAUUUCCUUGUGGUUUCCGUCUCCCCUUUUAUUUUCUCUUCCUCUUUUAUAAUAUUAAUUUGAUCUCAUCAAAGUCUACCAUGUUUAUCUUCAACUUAGCUUUUUGAUCCCCAAACCUACUCUUUGUAACCCAUGUGUUUUCUAAAUCUCUACCUAGCCAUGGACUCGGAUGAUGAGAAACAUGCUAAAAGAAGGAAAACCAACCAUGACGAUGAUCAGCCACAGACAACUGGGAUGGAAAUCCUUCCACACGAAAUCAUCGUCGACAUACUUUCAAGGCUACCGAUCACGUCGUUGGUGCAAUUCAAGUUUGUAUGCAGAGGAUGGCGUGCCUUAGCUCAAGAUCCUCUUCUUGCUGGUAUGCAUCUUUCCUGGAAAGCUGAUAGCAAUCCGUGCCUCAUCCUUCACUGUGAUUUUCCCAUCCGAAACCAGCUUUAUUUUGUAGAUUUAUCUGCUCACAACCAAGACAAAGAGAAGGUAAAAAGGUUAUAUGUACCUUUCCAGGCUACCAUGCCUGAAUUUGAUGUAGUAGGAUCUUGCAAUGGUUUAUUAUGCUUAUCUGAUUCAUUAUAUAACGAUGCACUAUAUGUUUACAAUCCUUUUACUAUGGAUUAUAUAGAGCUGCCAAAAUCUAGGCAAUAUCCAGAUCAGGAAGUAGUGUUUGGCUUUGGAUUUCAUCCAAAAACAAAGGAAUACAAGGUAGUUAAGAUAGUUUACUAUAGGAAUACAAGUAGUAGCUACAAUCGUGCCCGAAGAAUCAUUUAUCCGCAAUCAGAUGUUCAAAUUUUCACUCUGGGAAGCUCUGCCUGGAGGAGUCUGGGAAAAGUAUCAUACCAGUUUGUAAGGCGCCCUUCAGAGGCUUUGGUUAGUGGAAGACUUCAUUGGGUGAGUAGGCCACGCAGAUAUUACCCUGCUCGCCGGCUUAUGUCGUUUGACUUAGCAGAUGAACAAUUCCGAGAGGUCCCGAAACCCGAUUGUGGUGGUCUAAACAGGUGUAAUUUUCAUCUGUCUGUUUUAAGGGGUUGUCUUGCUGCAGCUGUUUAUGGAAAUUAUGGGAAAUUGGAGAUAUGGGUUAUGAAAGACUAUAACGUGAAGGAGUCUUGGAUCAAAGAGUUCAGCAUUGGAGCCUACACGCCGAAGUGUUUGAAACAGAAUCUGGACCGAGACAGACCUUUGAAGAUUUGGAAGAAUGCUUCAAACGGAAAAGUUGUUCGAGUUCUUUGCUUACUUGAGAAUGGUGAAAUCUUGUUGGAGUAUAAGAACAGAGUUUUAGUCUCCUAUGAUCCCAAGAAAGGGAAAUUUAGGGAUCUUGUAUUGCAGGGGAUACCUAAUUGGUUUCAAACAGUUGUUCAUGCAGGCAGUUUCAAUUGGAUUAACACCCCUCCUUGAUUUGUGAACGUUGCAGCAAUGAAAAAAUGGAUGCCUCUUUCCUUGUGAGUUGGCUGCUCUAUAAGAGAAAAGUGCUUUUCAUGUUUGUUUGUACUUCCUGAAUUUAGGUUGUUUCUUACCUUGAUACAUCUCAUUGUGAUUUUAUGAAUGUUAAACACAAUUCAAAAUUUGGGAAAUUUAGAUGUUGAGUUUCUGCUUUACAAACUGCAUCCAUGCACUAUUCCCUUCUGGAAUCAAAUGCAUUCCUCUUUCCCUGUAAAAGUUAGAUAACAAUUCAUCCCUCUAGGCCAAUAUGAGGAUAAUCUAACCAAACAAAGGAAGAACAGAUUUGACAAUCGUAUAACGAGACAAAGAUAAAAAGAACUCAACCACCAUCAGAACAGAUAAUUAAAAAUUCUGAUGCCUGACAAUAAACUAGUAGUAUUCAAUGGUAUGAGGGUAUUUCAAACCUUCAAGAAAAACCAAAUUUGACUGCUCUAUAUGCAUGUGAACAGCUUUUCUCUAGCUCCUAACUCACCUGCAUUAUAAUUGUACAUUAAAUAAUCAAAAAGAAGUUGCAAUAACCCUCUUUUUACAUUUUUAGUUUUUUCUCAAAUUAACUCUCACCCUCACUGUUUCAUGCAUGCCGUUAGAGUCGUCUUCAAGUUAGAGACUUAAAAUGGAAUUCAAGUGAUGGGAUUAAUAGAAACUCUCUUUCAAAAAAAAAAAAAAACUCUGAAUUGGCCCUUGCUGUUCUAGGACAGCUGGAAAGGUACGAGCCUAAACAGGGAGCAAGUUCUGAAGAAGUGUGUUCAUUUAAUUUAGUAUUAUCUUUUCCCCAAUGGGCUCAAAUUUUUUCAAAUGAGGAAUUUUUCAAUCAUAAAGAGCACAGGACUGGUAGUUCAACCACUUAACCUUGCACCUAAAAAAAUUCAUGGAAAGAGAGAAAAGUCCUCUGAUCAUGCUUUUUCCACUGAUCCAAAGUUGAAUAAAUGGCCCUAAAGUCAAGUCACAAGGGGCCUCGGAUGUGUCCUAUUGUGGCACAUGCAGAGAGAUUCCCUUCAGAAAUGGAACUCUCCCCCGUCGAAAUCUUCGAAAGUAACAAUGAUUUCCGUUUUACUUUGAAAUUUUAAACUAUUUCCACAAUCUUGCCCCAUCCUUGGCAGGUUGAAGCCGCUGUACUUUUUCUACUCUUUCUAUAACGUAUAAAUCUUUUCUGCGUCCUGUUGCCCACUAAUAAAUGAUAACAGCAAAAGAACACCAAAAAACACUGCACUAGACUAUCUCUUUGUCGCUUUUCCAUGACUAUCUGACAUCACUGGCAACCAAUGCGAGCACAAGCGCAAUCCCUGACCACAUUUUUGGCUCAGUACCCACCUACAUAUGAUCAUAUCCAAUUCAUCUAGAGAUGCCCUUUGGUUUUCACCCUAGGAACAUGAAAUGGUCAGAAAUCAGAAUGGAAAACAUUUCGGAGAAACAAUGGCCAAGGUCAUUGAUCUGCGUCCUGGGGAGUAUUGGGUGGCAAAGAAAACUAAUGCCUCCGGGCCUUCUACUGUAGGUCACAAGUUUGCAUCGGUUGACCCCUUUAAUCAAUCUUCAUCGGGUACAUUACAUAUAAUUUAUUGCUCAUAUAUGAAAAGAUUAGAUCCCAUAGUUUCAUUUGGUGUGUUUCUAAAAAUGGUUUCUAUUUUUCGAGUAAGUGCUAUAUUUCUGUUUUUCAAUCACUGGAUAAGCCAAUAGACUGCAUUAUUGCUGAAAGAAGAAUAUGCUACGGAAUUUUGAACAAAACAAAUGCACUGUGUCACUUAUCCCGCUUUGGAACUGACGACGACUAUCCCCCAAUAGCCAAAAUCUCCGGUAACGUCCAUUGAAGCAAUUGCUUAACAAUCUUACUUUCAGAAAUUCAAUCUGAAAGCAAUAGAUGUAUACUAGCUUGGCAGUGAAAAUAAUAGACUAUGGAUGCAUUAUAUGCAGUUAUUAUUGAAAUGAAGGCAAGCUAGCAUUGCACCAAGUACGAGAAGCUUUGCCUCCAGCUGCAAACUUUCAAAGAUCAUUUUAAUUUCAAGCAGUAGCAUAUCUGCAGGACCACUAGCAAGCUCUGAUUAACCUGAAACUCCCAUUAUGAAGCCAAACGUCCUAUCGCCUAUCCGUUCACAGACUAUCUUGCGCAUGGCCCAGAUGGACAGGUGGUGAUAGGCCUUGCCUUUAGUUUAACUUAGCUUUUCGGCUUCAGUGAAGGCAUCCAAGCAAGGGAAAUAUAUAGUUAGUUCAAGCUUUAAGGGAAUUAGUGUUACCUUUUGAACUUUAAAGUUUAAGCCCACUUUCAAAAGCUUGGUGUGCACCACUCUAGCUUAUGCUUUUUGUUUUUUAAUGUAGCCAGAACACAACAUUUUAUGUUCUGAACUGAGAGGAAGUGGGGAAAGGAAACGAAAAAGGAGCGCAAAUAAAGGGGAAGCGUCCGUAUCCAUUGCUCCUAUGAAAGUUUCCCUAUUUUCUUAUGGCUUUUAAUUACUUUUGGAUUUAGGUUGUGUUUCUUUGUCUCAUUCAUUUGGACUAGGCUUUACUUUUUUGGGACUGGAGAAAAUUGUAACCGGUCCUCGCCCAAAGGCCUAGCCCGCAACCUCCCCUUUUCCCCUUUUCUGCCUCCCUGUCCCAUUAAUCACUGCUGAAACACAAGUACCCCUGCCUAUUAAACCCUACCAGAAGAAUUCAGCUCGGGUAAAAUCAAUAUUUUUAGGAGAUCAGUUGUUAUAUUGAUUGUUAGAUAGAUUUGGAUUGCCGAAGGUAUGGAAAGAGAUUUAUAGGAGCAUAUGGACUAUUAUAUAGAGUUGUUGGUAUCAUAUAGUGUCGUUGCUACAAAAGCUUUGAAAUUAAUUUUGUAGCUAUACAGUGCCUUCUGUUACAAAAAAAUGUGUCAAAGUUAAGUGAUUUUGCUAAUACAUUGCCAGCAUUAUAAUUAUAUACAGAAGUUAUGAUUAAAUUAUUUGGCAAAGGCUGGUGCCUUGAUACAAAAAGGAAAAGACACUCUGUUAUGCAACUGAUAUUUGAAUUUCAGCGACAUAUUCACGAACAAAAGGUGAGCAAAAAGUCUGCAAUUGAGUUGUGGAUUUGUCAGCUUGUUGGUUUGGAGAACGCCAUGUAUUUUAAUAGGCCUUUCUUGAUCGAAGUUCCAUCCAUAGGUAUACGCCUUAAACUAGACAUACACCAACCAUGGGCAGGGCGAGGCAAAGCUUGUUUAAAAGCAUUCGGGAUAGCAAAAACAUGUAACUUCCUCGAUCUUUCCUUAUAUAUUAUGAAUUAUUAAGAAUUCAACGGGCCCCUUCCUCGCGAAUCAAAGAGGAGGCGGACCCCGUUUAUUGUUAGUAUUGUGUUUAUUUGCAAGUAGACAUAAUUUUUAUAAAAAACAAAAAAUUGUAUAGUUAAAUGUCAUCAAGAGACCUAAAUGUUGGAAUAAAUAGUGCACUUUGAAAGAAGAAAAUAAAGAUAACAAAAAGAUAAAAUACAAAAAUCAUUCAUAAGGAGGGAAAGGAUUUUACGAAUUCAUCAGUCACUGGGUAUUUUUGAUUAAAUGGUGAAGAUUGAAGACACAGAAAGUUUUGCACAUGUAUGUAUAAAGUCCUGCAUAUGUAUGUAUAGAGUGAUGCUGAUAAAUCAUAAGGUAGGAUGAAUAAGAAAGAAAUACUUUGAACUGUGGAAGAAUUAAUCCUCUGCAUUGCUUUCAAUAAAUUAUAGAGAGAUUGAUUAAGUAGUGAAAAGAACUUAAUAGUCAAAAUGAUUCGUCAUAGGAUUUUCUAAAUAACUUGUAGUAUAGGAUGAGUUUAUCCAAAUAGGGAAGCAGGGAGAUACAGUUUGUAGGUGAUAGAGAGGGCGGAGAAACCUAAGAGGCAGAGACAAAGAAAGACGCAAAAACAAUGCAAGAAAAGCUGAACAGGCGUCAGAGGAAUCUAGAAGCCCCAUGGCCAUCUAAACGUGCAUGGUUUGGUAAAAAAUGAGUAUUGUCCUAGCAGCUAACAUAGUGACCUGAGGCCUCAAUGCGCCCUGCAAGACUUGUAAAAUUAUAAUUAUUCUUCUUUUCUGCUUUUCUAUUCUUUUAAAUUCCUCUUUUUAAUCUUUUAUAUUAUAAGCAAUUGAUGACUCUUAGCUCGGAAAGAAUAAAUUAGCUAGUAAAACUAAAAAUCAAUGAUAUAGGUUAUUAAUGUUGGCUAGAAGAAAGACAUAGGAAAUUUGAGGAACAUGUGUAUGUAUUACAAAGUUAGCUGCUACCUAAGCAAAGCGUACAUUGCAUGUUUACUUUAUUGUAUUAAGGCGAUUUUUUAUUUGUUAAAAUGGGUAGCUAAAAUUGAAAGGGGAAGCUUUGGAAACUCUAUUGAUUUGAAAAGUUGAGAUUGGAGUCGGUUUCUCAACAUUUGUAGUCAACAAAGAAAAUUAGCUGUUGUAGACAUCUUUAAAAAAAUAAUAAUAAUAAUAAAUAAAUAAAUAAUUUUAAAUUAUAAUAAAAUAAACUAAAAUAUAAAAUAAUAUAACAAAAAAAAUGAAAGAUNNNNNNNNNNNNNNNNNNNNNNNNNNNNNNNNNNNNNNNNNNNNNNNNNNNNNNNNNNNNNNNNNNNNNNNNNNNNNNNNNNNNNNNNNNNNNNNNNNNNNNNNNNNNNNNNNNNNNNNNNNNNNNNNNNNNNNNNNNNNNNNNNNNNNNNNNNNNNNNNNNNNNNNNNNNNNNNNNNNNNNNNNNNNNNNNNNNNNNNNNNNNNNNNNNNNNNNNNNNNNNNNNNNNNNNNNNNNNNNNNNNNNNNNNNNNNNNNNNNNNNNNNNNNNNNNNNNNNNNNNNNNNNNNNNNNNNNNNNNNNNNNNNNNNNNNNNNNNNNNNNNNNNNNNNNNNNNNNNNNNNNNNNNNNNNNNNNNNNNNNNNNNNNNNNNNNNNNNNNNNNNNNNNNNNNNNNNNNNNNNNNNNNNNNNNNNNNNNNNNNNNNNNNNNNNNNNNNNNNNNNNNNNNNNNNNNNNNNNNNNNNNNNNNNNNNNNNNNNNNNNNNNNNNNNNNNNNNNNNNNNNNNNNNNNNNNNNNNNNNNNNNNNNNNNNNNNNNNNNNNNNNNNNNNNNNNNNNNNNNNNNNNNNNNNNNNNNNNNNNNNNNNNNNNNNNNNNNNNNNNNNNNNNNNNNNNNNNNNNNNNNNNNNNNNNNNNNNNNNNNNNNNNNNNNNNNNNNNNNNNNNNNNNNNNNNNNNNNNNNNNNNNNNNNNNNNNNNNNNNNNNNNNNNNNNNNNNNNNNNNNNNNNNNNNNNNNNNNNNNNNNNNNNNNNNNNNNNNNNNNNNNNNNNNNNNNNNNNNNNNNNNNNNNNNNNNNNNNNNNNNNNNNNNNNNNNNNNNNNNNNNNNNNNNNNNNNNNNNNNNNNNNNNNNUAUAUAUAUAUAUAUAUAAAUUAAAAAUACAUAUAUAAAUAAUAACAAUAACAAUAAUAAGUCAAUAAAAAAAAUAUUUAUAUUAUAAGUAUAUUUCGAGGCUUGCAAAUGAUAAAAUAAUAAUAAUAAUAAUAACAAUAAUAAUAAUUCAUGAUGCAACUAUAUAUAUUUCUAAAAAUAUAUAUAUAUGAAAUAAAUAAAUAAAAUAAUAAUAAAAUAAUAAAUAAAUAAAUAAAAUAAAUGGAACAAUUAUUUGAGCAUUACCACCUAAAAGGGGCAAAGAGUUGUCUCUUUCGGGUGGGUCACUUAAGUGCGGAAUUCGAAACGGAUUUUCACCGAAGCGUCGGGAUAAAUCCGGAUUCUAUACCCCUAUACCCAUUAGUCUGAAUAAUGUUUGUUUUAAAAAAAAUAUGAUAAACAAUAAUGUUAAAUAAUAACGAUAAAUAUAUGAAUAAGUCAAUAAAUUACCUGAAAUUAUUAAGCAUGUUAUUAUUACCAAUCAACUAAUUAAUAAAUACGAUCAUAUAGAUUCCAUCAUUUUACACUGUCAUUGCACGCCACUCUUAUUUUGCAAAUGGCGUGGGAAUCCCGAUGAUGGGAUUUCCCCGAGGAGCUUGUAGAGAUGAGUUCUUCCGGGGAUAUCUCUAGGUGAGGAGAAUUUCGAGACUUCACCAAAGCGUUGGGAUGGUCUUCGAAUAAUUUUCCAAUAAAAGAUUACCGACUCCAUCAUCUAAAACGAAUAAGUUAUGACAUCAUUCUACGCUUGCAUCAUAUGCAUACGUAAAACCAAGUGAAAAACUCAGUCUGUCAAUUCAAUAAAAAUUUAAUUAAUAAAGUAGAGAUUAACUUAAGAGAAGGCUAUAUAUUAAGAUAACUUAAGAUUAAAUGGUACCGUUCGUAGAACGGGCGUCACGGAGGUGUUAACCCUUCUCCGUGCGUAAUCGCACUCCCGAACCCAUCUCUAAAAGACGUGGACCAGUUCUCAUCCUUUCGACGGGCCUAAAAUUAAUUUAGGACUUCGUCGAUUAGAAUCAGAUUAAUAGGUGACCAAUCACACCUUAGAUAAAAAGAUUGGUGGCGACUCCCUAACCAUUUAAUUUUUGCCCGCGUCUGGCGGACGGGUUCCCGGACCCGCACGUUACGACAGCUGUAAUAUAGCUUUUGUGCAUAUCAUGCAAUAACAUUAACAAAAGAACUAUCAUGAAGCACCCAAAAAAAAAGCAUAAUAAACAAAAAAAAACGAAAUUACCCAAUACUCAAAAGAAGUUGAAAACCCCAUUUAAUCACUAAAACUCCUAAAACAGAAAAUUUAGCAUGAUCAUGUACUCUGGACACAACAACUCAACCGCAAAAGCUAAAAAUAAUUUCUUGUAACAUAUAAGAGUCUUUAAUAAAUCAAUUAUCAUAGCUAUCCAAAAACAAAGCAAAAGGUUAGAAAGAAUAGGAAAAAUAAAUUAAACAGGAAAAAGAAAAAAGAAAAAUUGACCCGCUUACAAAAGGAAGCUUGAAAGCAGAAAAAGAAAAACCAAUGGCAAUAGAUAUAAGUAAAAAAAUACAACUAAUUAUCUGUAUCACAUUCACAAAGGAAAAAAAAAGAAGUAACUAAAAAUCAAAAAUGAACAUUACCUGAAUAAAUGAAAGACAAAAUAAAAGCAUGAAGAAUGCAGGCAAAAUAAGCAAAAAAAUAAAAUAAAAAAUAUAUAAGUUAAUAGCAAAAGAAUAAAGACAUAAAGGAAAACACAACUUGAAUAAAGGGGCAAAAAAAAAAAGAAAUUAGAUAUGAAUCGGUAGCAAAGGAGAAGAAAACCACAACCAAAAUAGAGAAUAAAAAUGAAAUUAGAAAUCAAAAGUAAAAAAAAAAAAGAAGAAGCAAAAUACCUCAAUAAAUGAAUGACAAAAUAAAAACACGAAUAAUGCAACAAAAAUAAGGAAAAAACCAAAAUCAAAAAAAAAAAUCACCAGCAGGAUCGAAGAAGAAAGAAAAGAACAUAGAAAAAGAUAAGAAAGAAAGUGAAAAAACCUAAGAAAGAAGAAAAAUCUAGAAGGAUUAUAGGCGUAAAAACCAAAAAGGCAUGCUAAUUUUCGGCAAAUACAAAUGUUCUCUUUAGGCAAAGCACAAAGUUCAAAUGCAAAAAACCAAAACAACCCCUUUAGUGUCCAAAACACCAAAAAAUGAUAGAGGGAGGAAAGGAAUAAGGAGGGUAGGCAAACCAAAGAGGAAAGAAGAAGAAUAUGGACCAUUUGAGGGCCAAAAGUAAAAAAUGUCAUGAAAAUUUUAUGAAAAUCCAAGAAUGCCCCUAAAGAUGUAAAUGGGUUAUUGUUAUUUGGGUACCUAUAUAUAUCCAACUCGAUAACAUAGGGUUAAGGUAUCACAGUUAUAGGAUGGAUUAGGGUGAUGCUUUUAAAAUCUGACACAGAUUCAAGUAUCACCUUUAAGAUACCCCAAACUCGAACCCGAUUAUAUAUAAUGUUACAAAAAAAAUUUAUUUUGUGGGAUUUGAACUUUUGUAAUCAACUUACCUUUUCAUAAAUUAAUAAAUGUAAUAUUAAUUUAUAUUAGUUAAACUAUGAUGAAAUCGUAGUAAAGAUUGAACUCAUAAAAGGAUGGGAAACACUCCAAGUCUUUGCCAAAUUUGUCAACUUAAACAGGUAUUUAACGGAUUUAGACACUUAACGGAUAAUUGUUUACUAUUAGAAUUCGAUUAUGGAUAAUAUUUUGUAAUUUUAUACGAAUUUUAAUAGGAUUUGGAUAUUCUGAUAGCUAAUCAGUUUUAGGUUAAAUAUCUCAAAAAUAACGAAUACUUUACUCGUUUAUAUCUCUAAAUGCCUCCUAUUUCUUCACCACCAAGAAAAUAAAAAACCACAAACAUCUUUACCAAAUCAAUCAACAUCACCACAAACACCCUCACCAAAUCAAUUAAUACUCGAGAUAGGUGGCACCCAAUUGGUUGCCUCAAUUGAAAGCCUAAACCAAGUGACACGUGUCACAAAUCAAACAGUAAAUGGCUCAAUUGAACUAUAUGCGGUAGCACCAAACCCAUCCACGUGGCCCUCAAUUAGGCCAUCUACAUGGCACAAUUUUGGAACCCUCUUGGGAUUUCUUCUAUAUAUAAGUGUUGAUAUGAUAUGCCUUAAUAAGUAGUAUAGAUAAAGAUAAAAUCAUAAUUUUGAUAUGAUUAACUAAAUAAAAUAAAAAGAUAUGCAUAUAUAAUUGUUAUUAUAAUCUGACAAAAUUAAUUUAAUUUCUAUAUAAUAAAAUAUUUUAAAUUACAUAUAUAAUGACUAUAUUAUUAACAAAGUAAAACACAAAUUUUAAAAUAAAGAAUAUAUAUAUAUAUAUAUAUAACAUUUAAUAUUUGUUUCCUUUUUAUAAAUAAGAACAUAUGCUCCAAAACUUUGAUUUUUUUUUUGUUAAAAUUUUGAUGUUUUGACAUGUGGCAUCCAUAAGCCUUGUGUCAAAGCCACUUAAAAGAUGUUGACAAACACAAGGCAAAGCAUUGCUCAAGACUUGUUAUCGAAAUCCUACUAUAUGAUAUUUGAGAUCUUACAAUGCUGAUAUAAAUAUGGACUUUCUCUAAAUCGUUUCAAUCACACUCAUUAGUAAAUUAUAAGUUGAAUCGCAUAUCACAUUUACGCAAAGUUCAUGAUUUAUAUUAGAAGGACUAAAGAUAAAUAAACCUAGGUUUCAUAUGUUUGAUUGUGCAACAGACUAAUGAAUAUCGAGUUGGAGAAGAAAGAAGUAAACCUGGGGUCAAGAAGCUCAUCAAAUGCAAUGUAUAAAUAAAAGGCAAGAAGGAUGACUGAACACAACAUUUUAAACACAACCAAGAAAGAAAGGCCUAAUAAUCUAAAAGCAUCGUUCCAUUUGUAACUAAUUGUUUUCAAAAUUAGCUAAGGUAGUUAAGAUGAAAUUAUAGUCUUGUUUCUUUCUUACUUUAUUUUUAAUCAGUUGUAUAUAUAUUACUCAUUAUUGAGCCCUGAUUGAAUGAGAAAACUUGACAUUUCUCAUUAUCUUUUUGUGUUGCAUUUGUCCUUUUUCCUUUUUCUUAUUCACCUUUUUUCAUGGUAUCAGUGCAUGAAGGAAUCUUGGACUCUAUGGUUGUCGUUUUUGAACUUUUAAUGUAGCAAAUUCAUUUGCACACGAUAAGCUCUUCAUUGUCUUUUUAGCUCUAUUAGUAUUCAAAUCUACUUGUUAAGUAGUUGUUUAGUUAUCCAUGGUUGAGUUUAUUGAAACCAAAUCAAAAUCUAGUACAUAGAUCAGUAGAGUUUUACCCAUAGUAGAUCCCUUUCACCAUAUUGUCUACAUCGCACUAACCACCCUAGUACAAUAUCUAUCAACCCCAAGUUAACCACUAAUAAUUAUGUGGCUUGGAGUAGAUCUUUUUUACUUGCACUUUCUAUCAGAAACAAGAAAAGAUUUGUCAAUGGAUUUAUAACCAAACCUAAGAUAACAAAUCCCUAAUAAUGGCCUAGCCACUUAACUCUAUUUCACCACUUAUUGCUUCAACUAUUUUCUACAUGGACUUAGCUAUAGAAAUUUGGAAUACACUGAAGCUAAACUUUGCUCAACCCAAUGACACUAGGGUAUGCAAUUUACAAUAUACCCUUGGGAAAAUUAGUUAAGGUACUAGGAUAAUUUAUGCUUAUUUUAAUGAGCUUAAGGGCAUUUGGAAUAAAUGAGAAGCUAUCGCUCUCUACCACACUGUAAAUGUGGUAAAUAUAACCUCAAUUGCUUCAAAAAAUACUUAGAUCAAUUCUAAAAAGAAAUAGUUUUCAGGUUUUUGAAUAGACUAAAAUGAGUCUCUCUUUGUUGUCAGAUCACAAAUUAUAUUAAUGGAUCUUAUUCCAAGCUUAGAUAUGGUUUAUAGCCUAGUUCUAAGGGAAGAAACACAAAGAAACCUUGUUGUUUGAGCAUAGCAUGUCCUUGAAUCUUUUGCUAUGCUAGCCACAGUUGACAACAAGAAAAAUUGAGGAAGGAUAUAAUUUGUAAUCAUUGUGGAGAAAAAGGACACAAUAAGAACAAGUGUUAUAAGAUCAUAGGGGUUCCUGAGGAUUUCAAGUUCACGAAAGGUAAGCAGAACUUCAAGAAAGCCAAAAAUAUUGUAUUUGUAAUUUCUGAUGUAAUAGCAAAGCAUAAGCAUCAAUUUGAGCAAGAAGAAAAGUUGGCUAGUACCGGUCCUAUGUCCUAAAUAUCCAUCAUCAAAGAACUGGUUAACAAGCUAAUGGAGCUCUUAAAUAAGAAUGGUAUAAGCAACAAUGAAGGUAAAGGCAUUUCAUCAAACAUUUAGUAGACAAAGCACUUACUUGUGAAUUCUACCUUUACAGGUAUUAUUUCAUGUCACUCUUGCUUCAAUACAUCAAAUAAUUUACCUAUUAGACUUAGAAAUAUAAAUAUUUCUAUGAUUAAAUAAUAUUGGAUUGUGGAUUUUGGUGCCAGUGGUCAUAUAUGUUGUUCUUUAACUAGUUUCAUUCAUGCUAAAGCUAUCAAGAAUUGCUUUAUCCAACUACCUAAUAAUAAAAGAGUUUUUAUGUCUCAUGUAGGAACAAUAAGGCUAAAUCCAAAGUUAAACUUAUAAAAUGUCUUGUAUGUCCCAAGUUUUAUGUUCAAUCCAAUUUCAAUAGGUUAGCUCACCAGAAAAAAUUGUGUACUUUUCAUUGAUAUGUACUGUGUUGUAUAGGACAUUCUCUCAUGGAUCGUGAUUGAGGUUGCUAGGAUUUUCUCAGGGCUAUACUUCAUGCAAGAUAAAAUCAUAUGAACAAGACAUAUCAAGUUUCUAGUUUGACAAAAUAGUCAAGUUUCCUUUUAGUUUUACAAUCAAUGCUUACUCGUUUGUUAAUUCUACCUUUACAAGUAGUAUUUCAGGCCACUCUUCCUUCAAUUCAUCAAAUAAUUUGUCUAUUAGACUUAGAAAUGUAAAUAUUACUAUGAUUAAAUAAAGUUAUUGGAUUGUGGAUUCUAAUGCCAGUGAUCAUAUAUGUUGUUCCUUAAGUAGCUUCAUUCACUAUAAAACUGUCAACAAUUGCUUUGUCCAACUGCCUAAGAAUAAAAGAGUUCUUGUGUCUCAUGUAGGAAUAGUAAGCUUAAAUCCAAAAUUAGUCUUACAAAAUAUUCUAUAUGUCCCAAGUUUCAAGUUCAAUUUAAUUUCAAUUGGUCAACUCACCAAAACUAAGAAAAAUUGUGUAUUUUUCACUGAUAUGUACUGUGUUGUACAAGACAUUCUCUCAUGGAUAGUGAUUGGGGUUGCUAAGGAUUUCUCAGAACUAUACUUCAUUCAAGAUAAAUUAGAUGAACAAGACAUAUCACGUUUCUGUUUUGACAAACUAGUCAAGUUUCCUUUUAGUUCUACAAUCAAUGCUUGUAAAACAAAGUACAAAUGUUUUGAGUUAUGGAAUUUUAGGUUAAGUCAUGUUCUUUUGGAGAGAAUUAACAUCAUACAUAAACAAUUUCUAGAUGUUUGUUGCUCAAAUGAGCUGGUUUGUGAAGUGUUCUUUUGGCAAAAUAGAAAAGCUUCCAUUUUCAAUUCAAGUUCAGAGUUCUACUUGUGCUUUUCAACUUAUUCAUGUUUAUAUUGAGGUCCAUAUGAGACCCCCACACUAUCUAGUCAAAGGUGUUUUCUUAUAAUUAUGGAUGAUUUCGCACAUUUUACUUCGGUUUUUCUUAUGAGUAGUAAGUCAGAUGUUUUGCUAAUUAUUCUUUUUUCAAUAACUAUGUUAAAAAACAGUUUUAUCUUUCAAUCAAAUGCAUAAAAUCAGACAAUGGUUUACAGUUUAAGCUCACUGAUUUCUUUGAUAAUACUAGAAUAACCAUCAUUUAUUUUGUUACGGACAUGCCUCAACAGAAUAAAAUUGUUAAGAGAAAACAUCAACAUAUCCUUAUGGUUGCUAGAACCCUAAUACACCAAUCUAAUGUACCGAUACAUUUUUUGGGAGAUGCAAUACUAACUAUAGUUAUACCUGUCAAAAUGGGCUUGGCCCAUUGGGCCAGCCUAUUUUUCAUUUAAUAUAGGGUGGGUUGGGUUAGGAAAAUUUAGGCCCAUAUUUAGACUAGGCCUAGAUGGGCCAGCCCACCAAAUCAGUGGGUUAGGGUGGGCUAGGGCGGGCCAGCCCUAUGGGCUAAAAAAUUCAUAAUUUUAAUUAAUUAAUAAUUUUAUAAGUCAUAAUAUUAUAAUUUAAUUAUCAAUAAUAUUACUUAUUUUAUAUAUUUAAUGUGUUUAAUCUUUACUUAUCAAAUUAACAAUUUUAAUUUAUGAAUUAAAUCAUAAAAUAAUUUUAUUAAUAGAAAAUUUAUUAACUUAAAUUNGAAAUGGCCUGGCCCAACCCAACCCAUGGGCUAGCAAAGGGUGGGCUAGGUUGAGGAUUUCAUAGCUCAUAUAAAAAAUGGACUGGCCUAGCCCGACCCAUAUUUUUUCAACCCACGAGGGUUAGGGCUGGGUUGGGCCGAGCUGGCCCAUAUUGAUAGGUCUAACUACAAUGCAUAUCAUCAAUAAAAUCCUAACUAAAGUGCUUCAAAUUAAAUCUCCUUUCGAGUUGUUAUUUCAAUAGUCACCUAGUUAUGAACACUUUAAAGUUUUUGAAUGCAUAUGUUUUGUAUCAACACUAUCUCAUCAUAGAAAAAAAAAUUAGAUAAAAGAUCCACUAAAUAUAUCUUCAUUAGGUAUCCAAGUAAUUUGAAAGGUUACAAUGUAUAUGAUCUUUAUGCAGAAAGAGUUUUAAUAUCUAGAAACAUUGUUUUUCAUGAAAGAAUAUUUCCAUUUCAGUCUACGUAGUAGAGUAUGGAAACAGAUGCAUUCCAUCAAACACCUAGUUUACAUAAUAAAUGUUAUGAUAUUUUUGACUCAAACUUGAAAAUUUUCCAUCAGAAAACCAAGUACCUACUUAGUCAACUUCAUCCCAACCUAUCUUAAGGUCAAAAACAUCAAAUACAUUAAAUUCAAAUAAUUUGUCAUCUAAUUUACCUAUCACAAUUAGUAUGCCUACUUUUACCAACAAUGAGCCUAAUGCAAAUGAUAGUGACAAUGAUUUUUGAAUAGUGAUGCAAAUAUCAACUUACCAAUUAGGAAAAGUACUAGAAUCAGACACACUUUUAAUCAUUUAGAUGCCUAUCAUGUAUACUUUCCUUCACAUUCAAACAUUGUCAUUGCACAUCCAAUAUCAAAGCACUUAUCAAUUAGUAAACUCUCACCUGCACAUAAAGCAUUUACCAUUUCACUAUCAAAACCUUAUGAACCAAGUACUUACCACCAAGCAAUUGACCAUUCUCAUUGGAGAAAUGCUAUGGUGGUUGAGCUAAAAGCAUUACAAGAAAAUAGUACGUGGAGCAUAGUACCUUGGCGUGCAAAUUCUCAAGUGAUAGGGUGGAAGUGGGUGUACAAAGUGAAGUUGAAUGAAAAUGGUGAUAUUAAACGAUAUAAAGCAAGACUGGUUGCCAAGGGUUAUAAUUAAAUUGCAAGGUUUGACUACCAAGAAACCUUUAGUCUAGUUGCUAAGCAAACAACUGUCAAAGUUUUUUUUUUCCUUAGCUACAGCAUACAACUAGUCAUUAUCACAACUUGAUGUGAAUAAUGUAUUCCUAAAUGGGGGUCUAGAAGAGGAAGGUUACAUGGAGAUGUCACAAGGGUACAACAUCCAAGGGGAGUAUCCAAAAGGAUCCAAGUUAGCCUACAAACUACACAAGUCCUUAUAUGGACUCAAACAAACAUCUAGACAGUGGAAUGCCAAUUUUACUUCAUCAAUUCUUCAACAUGGCUUUCAUCAAUCUUCAACAGAUCAAUUUCUUUUCACUAUGAACACAAGUAAUGGGAAUUUUGUUGCAUUACUACUUUAUGUAAGUGAUAUACUAAUUGGAAGCACAUCAUCUCAAGAAACAAUGGAUGAGAAACACUACCUAGGUUCACAGUUGAAAUUGAAAGAUAUUGGAGUGGUAAAAUACUUCUUGGGAUUAUGGAUUGAUAAAUCACUUAAAGGUAUUUCCAUUUGCCAGAGAAAAUAUACAUUGGAUCUCUUGGCAGAGCAUGGACUACUAGGAGCAAAACUAGUUUCUACCCUUAUUGACUACAAUCAAAAACUGCACAAGGUUCAAAGUGAAGAUGAAUUAGUAAACCCCACAACUUACAGGCAAUUAGUUAGGAAACUACUUUACCUUACUUUCAACAAAUUAGACGUAUCCUACGUAGUCUAGAUAUUGUCUUAAUUCAUGAACAAACCUGGUCAUCAACAUUUCUUAGUUGCUCAUAGAGUAUUAAAAUACCUAAUAGGGGCACCAGGUCAAGGUAUUAUGAUGAAGUCCACAUCGAAUUUGAAAUUAUCAGCUUAUCAUGAUAGUGAUUGGCCAAGUUGUCCUGAUUUUCAAAGGUCAAUCACUAGAUUUAGUAUCUUCAUUGGAGAUUCACUCAUAAGUUGAAGUCAAAGAAGCAGUCAAUGGUAGCUAGAAGCUCAACUAAAGUAGAGCAUCGUUCAAUGGCUUCCACAUGUUGUGAGAUCAUAUGGUUAAAGAAAUUAUUAUCAAAUUUUAGAGUUUGUCUUAAAUAUGCAAUAGUACUCUAUUCUGAUAGCCAUUCAGCAAUCCAUAUCAGCAAAAAUCCAAUCUUCUAUGAGAGGACUAAGAAUAUAGAGAUAGAUUGUCACUUUGUUCGAGAGAAGGUUUAGGCAAAAAUAAUUAAACCAAUACACAUUUCCAUUAAUGUCCAACUAGCUGACAUCUUCACCAAAGCUCUACAACCAAGACAAAUUCACAACCUAUUGAGCAUGAUGAAUGUUCACAAUGAUCACAUUUUCUCUUGAGGGGGAGUAUUAGAAGGAUUGUAGAUAAAUAAAGCCAGGUUCCAUAUGUUUGAUUGUGCAGCAGACCGAUGAAUAUGGAAUUGGAGAAGAAAGAUACAGACUUAGGGACAAGAAGCAAAACAAACGCACCGUACAAAUAAAAGCCAAGAAGGAAAGGCUUAGUAUGCUAAACCCAUCGUACCAUUUGUAAAUAAUUGUUUUUAAAAAUCGGUUCAAGUAGUUAAGAUGUAAUUAUAGUCUUUUCUCUUUCUUCCUUUAUAUUUAAUCAAUUGUAUAUAUGCUACUCGUUAUUAAGCCUUGCUUGAAUGAGAAAUUCUAGACAUUUCUUGCUCUCUUCCUGGAUCGUAUUCGUCCUUUUUCCUUUGUCAUAUUCACCUUUUGUCAAACUAUAAACAUAUAAUUCAUUGAUAUAUGACAUAAAAUUCAUAAUAAGAACAUUGUGUAUAACCCUUUCCUCUGAAACUUAAAUUGUUAACACUUGAAAAUUGAUUUGAAGAUGGUAUAAGUGAUGACAUUGCACUUGUAAAAUUCAAAUGCUGUUAUAUCCACCUCAUAAAUAUAAAAAAAGAAUAACAUAUUCAUAUUUUUCAUUUAUAUAUAUUUUUUGUACAAAACGUAAUAGUAAUGCAAUAUAUAUUUUUUAAAAAGGUACUUAUGGAGUGCAAUAUAUAUUAAAAAGUAUUGAUUGUUAUUACAAUUUUUAUUUAUAUACAUAAUUUCACAAAAAUUAAUCAUCACUUAUCUACAGAGAUAUCCCAUUUUUAAAACCAAGCUCGGACUUGACCUAACCCACCGAUUUAACUAUUAUUUCAUUAUUAUAAUAAUAAAAUAUUAUUUUAUAUUAAUGUUUUAAUAUAUUUCAAAAAUUCAAAUUAGAUAAAAAAUAUAAUUUAUUAGUAAAAUAAUAUAAUGGGGUUGGACUUGAGCUUAAAAGUUUAUGUACAAGUUUGGUUCGAGUGGGCUAGGUAUGCGGGCUUGGCCAGAAAACUCAAAUUCUAAUUGAAUGACUAUAUUGAAAGUCAUUUCAAGAUGUAAAAGUUUAAUUUUUAAUUUAAUAACAUCAAUUGUUAUAUUAUGAUAAUAGUCAAUGAUCUAUAAAAAAAAAAACUGUUAAAUAAAUAUAAAAAUACAUAAAAAAUGAUUCAAUUUCCUUGUUUUCAAAAGAUUUCUCGGUUUUUUUUUUUACUUUUGAAAGGUGUUAGAAACUUGUUACUAAAUAAUUCAGAUAAUUAAGUAGUAACUUUUGUCUAUUUAUAUAGGACAUAUGUAAAUCUUAUUAGGAAUAGAACACUAAUUCGAUUCUUAGUAGGAGUUAAAUUAUGCCUAUGCGGAUGCACUCAAAGAUUUGGGUCCACUUGACCUGAUUCAUAUUCUAACACAACAUAGAAAGCUUAAAAGAAGCGUAUGUUGGAGAUCCUUAAAGAUUUUUUUUUUCUUUUUUUAUGGUUGUAGAUUCAAGUCCAUAUCAUCUUAUUUCAUAGUUUAUUUGAAAUUUUUUUAAUAUAAUUUUAUUAUUUAAGCUUUUUAAAUUGAUUAAAAAAUUUUAUUUACCUGCUAAUUGAAAUAAUAUUUAUCAACACAUUGCAACUAAUCCCUGAAAAGAAAAGAUAAUUAUCAAUAACAUCCCUUACAUUACAAUCUAUUGACAAGUUGAGGUUAUAAACAAUAUUUUAAUAAAAUAAUUUUAUUUAAUACUUAAAAGUUUAGCCUAGAAUUUUAUAAAUACUAUACUAUAUACACCUUGAUGUGUUAUACCUACAAUCAAGUGCCUUCUCAAGCCCCCUAAUAGCUGCUAACACAAUCCAACUUGCUUUAAACUUCCUAAUAGCACAGCAGUGCAUGUUAAGUAGUUCUUCAUACAUUCCAAUUUUCACACAAGUUAGAAUAUGAAGAUUCAAGUUGAAAUAUAUAUGGUUAAAGUGGUUAGGCAAUAAAAACUCACCACUUCCAAUCAAAGAGGAAUUCAAUAUUAUAUCUGAAAAUUUGGCUCAAUGCUAAAUGUAUCCCUUGCUCAAAAAAAAUGGGGUUUGAAUCCUCCUUCUUUCAAUCAAAAAAGAAAAAAAAAAAGAAUUCAAUGCCAAUUAUGUGGAGAGAAAUUAAGUGAUGAUGAUCUAUGAACAAUAUACAAAAUUCAUAUACUUAAAAAAAUAUGGACUUGGCAUAUUGCAUACAAGGUGGCAGUUGGGAGGUCAAGAAACCAAAAAAACAGAAAAUCUAGUGUAAAUAGAGAAAUAAAUAUAUUUCCUUGUAAGAGAACCUUUACCAUGCAGACAACAUAAACCAUACUUAACCUGAGACUUCUAGAAUCUGGACUCUAAGAAAUUUAUAAUAACUAAGGAAUCUGCAAAUGGUCCUUUAAGACCAAAAUUGAAAUUGCUACUGUACUUGUAUUUGCAGACAAUGGAGAUCAAGUAGUGUACAGAAAUGAUGAUUUAACUCUGACCAUCCAUGGUCCUUCUCAGGUGCUCCAGCACGAGUUUUUCACCAGUGAGGUGUUCAACCAAUCCUUCCAUUUCAGAGAAACUAAAUUAAGAGCCCAAAUAAUCAAAUUGGAAUAUAUUAAUAAAAUUAACAUUAAUACCCUAACACCUAGGUCAUUUAGUUAAAAGUAAAUAUACAUAACAUUAAAAAGAAGGAAGAACAAUUAUAUUCAGAUUACUACCAUUAGUGUAAUCUCGACAGUCAUGAAGCCCCACUCUCAAAUCAGCUCCCCAUGUGUUGUUGAACUUGUAGGCUUUAGCUACAGCAUCCUCAUUGGAAUAUCCAACAAACCAACAUUUUCUCCUAGGCAGUUUUGUUAACUUCCUUGCUAGAACAACACCUAUUGAAAGUGUUAUUGUAGUACAUAUUAUGAAGGAAAAAAGUACUGGUGUCAUCAAUAACAAAGCAAUGCCAAACUUUAAACUAAUCCACAAUAAACGUUUCCAGCAACCCAAAUUGGAAAAUUUGCUUUUUGUGGAUUUAUGUAUGUUAGAAUUGAGAUUGUUUUUAAAGAUUUAACUCCUCUAGGUGAAAUCCAACUCUUGUUGAUGCCUUUAGUUUCUGCAAAAUAGCGGCAGAAAACUAAGCAAGUUUUGUUUAAGUGGUCAAUACAACAGCUAGUGGGAGUAGGUUAGCUUGAUAUACUGCUACGCCAGACUACCAGCAGAAGUGAUGACUUAAUGCUGAGAUAUUUGUACUUAUUUUGUAAGCAAAUGACUGGUGUAUAUGUAUGCUUUUGCAGAUGAAUCAAAUGUGAGAAGUUUUCUGCAUCUUUUCUUCUUGUUCUCUCUUUCCUUUUCUCUGCAGACUUUAUCAAGGAAAACAGCUAUUCUCCUGCUUCUUCAUUCUCUGUUUUGUUUAAGCUGUAUUUGAUUUGUUUCUUCACAAUAUAUGUUCACACAUCUGUCCCUAAAUGUUGGCAGUUUAUGGAUAUUCCAUCAAAUGUUGUAACCCAAAUUAUAAAAUAUUCUCAAAAUGCAACAAGUGUGACUAGCAGAAAUAUAAGUUCUUAUGUUCAAAACCCGUUAGAAAAAGCAUGCCAGCUGUAUACCGAACCUAACUAAGAGGAAAAUCUAACAUAAGCAACUCAAUUAGAAAGAAAAUCCAGUUCAAUAAUCAAUCUAUAAUCUUAUAUCCCUUUUUCAGAAAUAUGGAUUGCUUGGAUUCAUUAAUCCGUUUAAAAUCUCUGGUCUGUCUUCACUCAAUCAAGCUCCUUGUAGAUUGCUUGGAUUGAGGCCUAUGUGCUCAAAGGCAGAAAUUUAUGGCAGAUCCCAAUUUCUUAAGGAUGCAGCGGGAGCUGGAAAAAGCUGCUUCAACUCAGACAGGUUGCCUCUAGGUUUAUUCAGCAGAACAAUGGGGGAGAGAUAUGGAAGGUUUGCUGAGCAAAAAAAAAAAAAAACGAUGUGGAGGUUCCUGGAGUUGAUUACUCUGCUGCCUCUGAAUGGAAUGAGAUCAGGCACAAACAGGUGAAGAUUGAGUGGCAUAGGCUUGUAUGGUUUCAAUGUCACAUUCCCAAGCAUGCUUUGAUUGCUUGGAUGGCUGCACUUGACAGACUUCCUACUAAAGACAGACUGCUUUCAUGGGAAACUUCCAUUAGUGGGUUUGUUUGUUGUUCCAACAUGAGCUGGAGACAAAAGAUCACUUGUUUUUGACAUGUGAUUAUCUAAAAACACACCUGCCAGCUUGUAAUAUUUGCAGAGAGCUCUCUGGCUGGAAGGAAGAGCUGCAUUGGGUGGUUAAAAGACUCAAAGGGAACGCUUAUGUUUGUCAUAUUUGGAAGGAGAGAACCAACAGAUUUUAUGGGUACAUUGCAAGGACCAGUUCACAGAUUUAUUGCAAUAUUGUAGACGCUGUUCAUUUGAGGCUUUAUGGUUUAAAGAAUAUUGGUUAUAAUUCUGUUGAUAGGGAUAUGAACAGCAUGGGGACUAACUAGCUCCAUUUUCAAUUAGUUUCUGUAUUGUUGUCCUGGCAGCUUGCUGCAUGUAUUUGUUGCUGUCUUGACAGCUUGUUGUAUUUGUAGCAAUUUUCACUGCUUCUUAUGGGUAACACAGAAUUGACUAACCAAAAAAUAAAUCCUACAUCCCUCUUCGAUUUUUGAGAAUCAGACUCAUACAUUCGUUUCAAGUUACAUGAAGAGUGAUGACAAUCUGCAUGCAACUAAACAAAUAAUCUUGAACCACAGAAACAAGGCAAAACAGAAUGAAGAUCACAGUUAAUGCUGAACAAAACAUUCUUCGGAAACCAAUGGGAGAUUUCUGAUUUUGAGGUCUCCAUGAACCAAGCAGGCAAGCAAUAUGAAAAGGAUGUGAUAUGACUGACAUACCUUGGAGGGCUGCUGAACUUUCAAAUCUGAUACAUUGAUAAAUUUAUAAGCCAAGUAGUCCAUAAAUAGUUAGGGUUGAAAAUUUCCUUAAAGAUCAUUUAAGUUGUGAAAAAUAAUGUUUGACAGUGCUCACCUGGUACUGCUCUACCAGAUAGAGCUGCAAGUGCUGUGUAUAUGUUUUCUGGAUCUUCAGGUUGAAAAUCAAAAACAAAGGCCUGCAUAUAAUUUUCAGACUGCAUCAGUGAAAGAAGACUGAAAAUCCCUUCAAUGUUAACCAAAUAUAUCAACGAGACAUGAGAAUGUAAACUAAAAUCAUCAUACAUCCUAAAUCCUAAGUGUCCACGAACAAAAAUGCGUCUCCAAGCUGACAGUUAAACUAAAAUCUAUGCCACCAGGACACUUGAAAAUAAAAUUCAAGAUAACAUUACUGGAAUUGAAAGUGAUCAGAACAGGAGUUGGUAUGGCAAUAGAUAAUGGGAUCAGAAUUCUCAUGUGCUCUUGAUUCGAAAGUCAAGUAAAUGCUUGAAUUUCACUAUUUGAGAGGCAUUUACAUUUCUAGGACCAUUCCGUGUAGGUGACUAUUAAGCCAGUUUUGGCACUAAGAUGGAUCAAAAGGGAAAGAGAUGACUGCAAGCGGUAAGGGCUGCACUUAUUGCAGCUGCUCUACCUAGAAUAUUCAUUUACCCAUAGGAAAACUUUAAGAACUAGCACUACUAAAUUACAGCAGAACUCUGUCAAAUUCUAGUAGAAGAUAAUUUUGCCUAAACUUGUAGCUUGCCACCGCAAUCAGUUAGGGAGUUGUUAAAAACAAUUUGCAAGAGGAUUUCAUCCCAACUACCAGAAAAUGAAAUCUUAACAGAGCAAGAAGAAUGCCAUUACAUAGUGCCGACUUCAGAUAGGUUUUUGAGACAAAGCUAGGUCCUACUAACACAACAGCAAAGGCCCAAAAAGAAAAAAAAAAAACAGAGACGCAAUAAAACUAGUAUGGGGAUAAUGAAGAGGAAGGAACCUGAGAAGGGAGAGGAGAAGAAGAGGGUUUGACGAUGACCAUGAAGUGCUGCAAGUCCCAGAAAUUGAGGGAGUACGCGGUAGACAUGAAAAGCUGGGCUACGCCCUUUGUAGCUCUUAGUGGCACUGCUGCCACAUAAACUUCAUCUUUGCCUCUUGUCAGUGUUGAUUUUGUGAAGGAAAGAGAAGACAUUUUAGAUACUGAAUACGGAAAUGAACCGUUAAAGUAGUUGAAAAAGAGAUGAGUUGAGUACAGUAAAGAGUAUCCACCCAAACAAGGUAAGGCCCCUAAUGGGCCUCCAAGAGUCAUAAAUAAACUAUUAUUAUCAUUGGUCUAUGUAUGUAUCAAUGUAUGGGUGGUGCCUGACUCGUUUGCUCGCAAUUCUCUAGAGAUGGUCUUGAAGAUGACUGAAAAUUAUAGCCUGAUUUCUUCUGAUGCAGACAGAAAAAUGGCAGUGUUUACACUUGAGGAAAUGACUGAUUUGAUGAAGUCAACACCAAUUGGCUCGGUUUAGGAAAGCGUUAAAUACAAAACUCGGUAUAGCCUGAUCAACUUAAUAAUUUAAUAUUGGCAUGACCAACCACUGAAUUAUAUUAAUGAUGGAUCUUUUUCAUACUUAAUGAACGUAUUAAUUUGGUUAUUUACAAUUGUUCUUAAAAUAGAAAAGUUUCUUUUGAUAUUUCUACUUCUAACAGAGUAGAAGAAAAGGAAAAUGAAAGUUGCAUUCUAAAAUUCUCAUUAAGUCUUCGAGUUGCUCGAAAUAGGAAGCAAUAGGAGGGAGAUCAAAUCAUACUAUUAAACCAGCAGAAUUUGUAAUAUAAAAGAUCGAGACUCACCAACUGUCAACACACUGCAUCACACUAUCAUGUAAUCAGAGACCACAUUUUAUGCUAAGUUAAAAUGCCCAAUGCUAGAAACAAAUGUGGCAAGUGAAAUUGGAUGAUAUUGUAAUUUCAUUUUUCCAGAUCAGGAAGUUGGAAACGGACUAUGACCAUGUAUGAGAUUUGUUGGUUUUAUGAUUCUAGACUUAGAGCGAGGCUCCAAAGGUAAUCACCUAUGAUUAGGGGUGGAACUAACCAAUUUUUAUUGAGGGGUCAAAGGCUAAGAAAAAUAAAAGUUAAAAAUUUUUAAAAUUAAUAUAUUAAACUUAAUCAUUAAUAAUCAAAAGAUUUAAAAUAAAUAAUAAUUUUAUAUAACAUGUAAAUAAAAAAAUUUUAUAAUAAUACUCUAGAAAAAUUUUGUUCGACGAUGGUAAUAUUUUUUUAAGUAUAAACAACUAAAUUAUUUAUAAAAAACUUAUCAUCAAUUUUGUUUCGAAGUCUUGUCUUUAUCGAUAUAAACGACUAAAAAAUUAAUUUAGUCAAUAUUUAAUAUUCUUAUUUUAUUAUAUUUAAGUUUAUAAUACAAAAUAUUAAACUAUAAUGCAUAAAAUAUAAAUAGUUAAAUAUGAUAUACAUAAUUAAUAAUUUUUUCUUAUACUCAAGAUAAUUUUCUUUCAACUAAAUAUAAAAUAUAAAGCACAUUAAAAACAUAUACUUAAGAUAAUUUUUUCUUAUAUAAUUAGGAUUAAUAAAAAAUAAUAUAUUAGUGAAAUUUUAAACAAUAACCAAUAAUACAACACUUGAACUUAUAUUUGAGAUUACAUAUACAAUAAUUAAUUUUUAAUUUUUAAAAAUUAAAAUCAUUAAAAAAAUCCAUAUAACAGAAAAAAAAUCAUGACAAGUAGGAGAUAUAAUUUAUAUAACAAAAAAAAUAUAAUUGAUGAUUUGUAAAAAUUUAAAACAAAAAAUCUAUAGAAACUUAAAAUAUAUGAGCAAAUAGAAUAUAAUUGAAAAAACUAAAAAAAUAUAAAUAAUAAUAGUAAUANACAGAAAAGAAAAGAGAGAAAGAUGAGUGGAGAAACUUAAAAAAUUUAAAAAAUUUAAGAAUUUGAGUAAAAUUGAAUGAGCUUGUAAAGUCAUUUUUAUUAUUUUUUAAUUAUAUUAAUUAUUUAAUAAAAAUUAUUAAAAAAUAUAUAAUAUAUAAAAAAUUUCAAAAUUUUUGGGAGGGCCAUUCCAAAGGGACGCUCCGCCCCUGCCUAUGAUCAUUAUCUUACCUGGCUAGAACGUCUAUGGUUUACGUUCUUAUCAUGUUAAAUUAAGUAUUAUAUGUAAUUGUCUAGUUUCUUAAAAUUAACAGACUACCUAAUAAGAAGGUCUACAAAUAAGCAUGAGGUCUUUUCCCAAAUCACGAAUACUGUUAGUCAAAAAACUAAGGUGAAAACCAAACUCUCUUCUUUCCAUAGAAAAACCACUCUCUUUUGUAAGACUAAGGUUUUUGUAUUGUCCAAUGGAUGGUUAUGCUUGAUUGUAGUAUAUAUCACCAUGGGUUUUUGGGAGCCAAUAAGCUCAUAAAACAUCCACAAUCAAGAUCUUAGAGUCACUCAUGAUCAGCAUUAGUAAAAUUAUUCUGUAAUUUUCUUAAUCUAUAUAUUUUUCCUACACCGAUAUCAUAGCUAAUUCAAGAAUUUUCAUGUUGUUUUGAUCUUUAGAAAACAUGAUUAACAUGCUAAAAAUCCUUAAUUAUGCCUUUGUUUCAUGAUUAUCUCGUUUUUAAAGCUCUUAUGAAAUGUUAAUGACAAUUAUAAAAAGGCAUGUUUCAGAGUAUCAUUUUUUCAUGAUAUGAUGCACAUAAUACCUAACAAAAUAUGAAAAUUUUGAGCAUUAUGUAAUGACUAAACAGGGAGAAUUACAAAACACUAAUCGUUUGACUUGAAACUUUGAUUGAUUUUUCUCUCUAUCAUCAAUGAAUUUUCACGUAUGAUUUUUAUAUAGAUGGAAUUCUUGUAUGAUAAGUAAUCCAUGAUAUAUUAUUUAUAUAAUUUGGAAUUGUGUGUCGAGACACAAUUAGAUAAUCAUGUUAUCGUGUAUCUGUAUAACUAGUGACUCAUUUAUAUAUUAAUAUUUUUAUGAUAAUUAAGAUUUAUUGAUAUUGAAUUUUAGGAUAUUUGAAAAAUAUUAUGAUAUUAAUAAUUUUUGUUGCAAAGUUGAAAAAUAGAAUUCUAUUUUACUUGUACAUAAUUUAAUUUAAUUGUUUUAAUCGUAUUAAUCCUGUGUUAACUGUAUCAAUCAUGUUAAUCGUGUAGACAAGUUAUAACUCGUAUAAAUUUUAAUCAUGUCGUGUCAUAUAAAAUUUAACUCAAUACGUUUAAUAAACAUAUUAGCUAUAUCGUGUCAUGUUACACGAUUAUUAAAUAUAUCCAUGUACGUGUUUAAGUGUCACAUCUCGUUGCCAAAUCAUGACCAGCGCGAAAGCGCAAUGGACAUAAACUUUCAUCACAAUAUUGGUGCCCCUGUCUAUGAACAACAAAAGAGGAUAUUGCAACUAAACAAAAUAGAACAAAACAAAAUAACCCAUUUGGUAUGGUACUGGUGCAGCUAGUGAAUACCUUAAAUUCCUACCAAGGUUGUCGAAAGAGGAUCCACCUCAGAGAUAAGCUCUAUCUAACUUGAGAUCUUAAAACAAAAAUAUGAGAUUUUUAAAAAGAGUGAGUACAAGAUACUCAGUUAAGGAUAAGGAAGGAAAUGAACAUUAACAGAAGAGUAUUUAAUAAACCAUGCCACUAGUUUGAAACUAUGCAAUUUUAUUUGAAAAUAUGAAACUAUGAAUGCACAUACUCAAAAUCCAUCAUAUUUUAUUUAUUAAACAUUGAUAUAAUCAUGUUCUGGAAAACCAAGGUCUUUAUGUCUCAAAUCAUAUGAAAAGGAAUAAUUUUUUUUCAAAAAUAGGGGAUAAGUAUCAAUACACCAAAAAACAAGCCUUGGGACUUCAUUCAAAAUCUGUAUGCUUUGGUGUUUUUCUCAUUUCAAAACUUUACCACACUUGAUCUAAUCACACAACUCAAUAAAUAUUCUAAUUUUCAACACAUUCAUACAACUUUAAAGUAAUGAAAAGCUUAAAAAAUAUAAAUUAAAUCAUCCAAGCAUCAUGAUUAAAAUUUAAUACACUAGUGGAGCAACUUAAAAAGUACAAAAUACAAACAUAUCACACAUGAUAAGUGGCCAACCCAUAUAGCUAGUGCACUCGGACCUACUGACUUCAAUAUCACUUUUGCCAUCCAUCGGCCACAAGGCUAGCGCCAGUUACCCCUUUUUCCCUUGCUAGCUAAGGUGGUCCUAUUCUGUACAAUAGUUAGCAGAACUACUGCUAUCCCAAGUCCUCACUUAAGUGCUCCACAUUGAAAACAUUUUCCCAUAAAUUUCCAUUUCCAACAUGAACAAAAAUAGUAUAUUUAUACCACACAUAUUAUUUCAUAAAGUAAAUUGAUUAUAGAACCAUAUAUGCUACUAACAUUUAAUGGCUCUCUAACAAAUUAAUAAUACUUCCAAUAUAAACAUAGUUGAAGGCAAAACAUACAAUACAAGGGCUCACGUCCCAUUCACAUUAUUUAUAGCAUUGAUCAUAACAUAAUAAAAACGUUACAUGCAUUUUUCUAAAAUAAAUUAACUAUGUAUCUUUCACCUUUUAUGUUACCUUGUAUAUGGAUACGGGUUCGGGUUUGGAUAAUUGGAUACCCAUGAAGAAUAUUUUAAUAAUUUUUUUACUAAUAAGGGUUUUUAAAUGGGUUAGGGUAAUUAUAAGAUAGUGAGAAUGUAUUAGGGUUAGGGUUAAGGCAGUAAAUUUUAAAAUUAUAUAGGUAGUUAAUAGGAUUCAGGUAUUUGAUUUUUUAUAGAAUUAGGGUUCAGGUACCUCAAAUUUAACGGGUACCCUACUCGUUGACAACCUUAGACACUUUUGGGCUUGGCUGCAAAGGAUUGAACAUUUUGUUCAAAAUGUAUUGAUACAUUUGUCUCGAUACUUUUGAGAUAGUGAGCAUUUGUAAAAUUUCUAUCGAUACAUUUUGAGAAUGUAUCGAUAGAUUGAGUUUAACUUUGCAAAUUUUGACUUUUUUCAAGAAAAUGUAUCGAUAUAUUUUUAUUUCUAUCGAUACUUGUCCAAAUGUAUCAAUACAUAAUGAACAUGUAUCGAUAUAUUUAGAUAAGAAAGUACUUUUUAAAGUCCUUUUUCAUUGUUCUUCUUUUCAAACUCAUUUGAGAGUACUAAAGAAUGUCUAGGCUUGAUUUAUCAAUACUUAAAGAUAAUUUUGGUCAUUUUUUUUGUCAUUUCAAAACAAGAGAUCAAUUUGAAAGUUACAGAGCUAACAUACAUUGAUACGCAAAACAACUUCAUUAGAGGUUUAAUUAGGCAAAAAAAUUGAUCUUAAAAGAUAUUUUCACUUGUCAUAUAGUUGUAGAUCCUUUGACAAAUUGAGUUAUGCUUAUGUGACACAUGUUAACUCUUUAGGACUUCAUAAAUGGUUCUUUUUAUUCAAUCUUUGUAUUCAACUUUUAAGAUAUUAAUAAUAUGUAUACAUUUUUUAUUCCAUAAAGAUGCAUUUAUGUCUAUAUAUUAAUUAGCACAAAAGAUGUAAAAAAUAUAUCAACAAGCUUGAGAUUGGCUUACUCACAUAAGAAAUCACUUAUGGCACCUUUAAAGGCAAGCAAAGAUGAAAGAUAAACUUCUAAUGCUUUAUAUAGCAAAUAGAGCUUGAAAUGUCAUCUUGAUUGGUUCUAAGUGUCUGUUUGGGCUGACUUUUUUUUAGCUUAUCUAUCUCUUAAAAGUAAAAGUCAAGCCAAACAGGAUUUUGAGAAACUCUUAAAAACAUAGCUUUUUUUAAAGAACAAAAUCUAAACAAAAAAAAAAAAAAAGCUUGAAGAAAAGUUCCAAAGAUGAGCAUUCUCUUCUCUUUUUUUAAAAACUCACCAGCUUUUUAGGAAAAUUUUUCUUUUUUUCCAAAAAUGUCUUCAUUUAUUAAAAAUAAUCUCAACAUUACCUUUUAUCGUAAUUUUAAUCAAAAUUAGAACUUAUAUAGGUUGUUUUGCCAAACAACUUAUCUAUAAAAAAAAAUUUAUAAAAAUAAAUUUACCAAACAGUUUUAGCUUAAUUUUAAAAAUUAUUAUUUUUCAUAAGAGCUUCAUAUAGCUCUUAAGCUAAAAAAAAGAAGUCAAGCCAAACAAACUCUAAGAUGAGGUCCAUUCAAUAAAUAAUAACUAAGGGACCAACAGUGGAUUAGCCCACAAUCCAGCCUAUACAGUAAGCUAGUUGUGAGACCUAAUUUAACGCCUAGAAUGGCGAACAAAUGGAGAAAUUAAGUUAAGGGUUGUUGAAGGGCAACUAGACUAAGAUUUGUACGAUGUUUUGGAGUUUGACAUACCGACAUAGAAAGAGACCUUCCACCAUGGCAUGUACUUCAUACUACAUGUGUCUUAUGAAUGACACAAGAGGUAGAAAAAUGGAUCCCUAUAUCUUCAUCAUGUGAGUUCUAAAGAGGUUAAUAAAACUUCAUUAUACCUUUUAUGACAUUUAACUAUGUCAUAAAGUGAGGAAUGGAUGUUUGUUACUUUAGUAUAUUAGCUAAGACCAUGGAUGAUUCGAUUAUACAGGACAUUAUUGGAAAAAUGGUUUUUCUAAAGUAAGUGGCAUGUGAAAGGGAUUCAAAUCAUGCUAAGGUGAUCAUACACAGCGGAAUAUUAUUACAAUUUUAAUCCCCUAAGCAUGGAUCACUUUAAUUGAAACUAAUCUAAAAAAAUCACAAGAGAAAGAUUAUGACAUACUUGAAAGUUUAAUGUCUGCUUUCUUCGGUGGAGUCUUCCUUGGCUUUUCAUUUUUUGACUUUUGUACAUCAACUAGGACUUAUCAAACUAUAGCAACACAAUUGUCCUGCCUCUAAUGGUGAUCCACACAAUGAUUUGCCGAAAUCUCUUCACUAAGAGUGUGUGAAUCACUAAGCCACAGUUUGUACUAGCAAACUCUCAACUUUGAGCUCUCUUGCGUUUCUCUCUUUUUGGCUAUGAUCUUUUCUCAACACAUAAGAAAUAAAACAGGACUCUUCUGUACGUUCAAGAAGAGGCUAAAGGAUUCUUUUGUAAAGUGAAUUGACUUACUUCAUAUCCAACAAGGAUUAAAAAAUGUCUAGGGCUAAUUGGGCCUUUAUUUAAUACUCCAUCAAAUCAUAUUUGAUUUAGCUCAAUACCUAAUUGGAUUAAGCCUUUAUAAAAUCAAUUAAAUCACAUCUAAUUGAACUCAAAUUAAUUUCUGUAAUUCAUCUUAUGUGUGUGACCCAUUAGGUACUCAACAUGUUAGUAAUAAAUAUAAAUUAAUUCAAUUAAAAAUUUAUAAUUACAUUUAUAGAUCAUCAGCAACAUCUAACAAUACAUCAUGACCACCCAAAUGCUAGGAAAGUCAAUAUGGUUUGACUAAUCUUUUAGUGUACAGUAUUUCAAUGUAAUUGAAUCUUUUCAUCAUAUAUCCCAAACAGACUUCUGACUCGGUGUCUACUUUCUAACUUAUCUUUAUUAGUCCUACACCUUCCAUAUUAACCUAUUGAGAUUGCCGUGGCCAAGGACUUUUAGUCAACAUAAGCUAUGAGCAAAUGAGAUAUGUCCCUUUCAAAUUAUUUGGGGUGAUGAAUCCUCUUUGGACUACUUAUUCACUUCGCAUGCUUCAUGCUAUACCCAAAAGCAUCUUGUUUAGGCAUCUGAUUGCCUUCAGACUCGUAGAGGUGAAAUUAAAGCAUGACAAUUCACAUACAAGAUGAUCUGGUAUCACAAGUUGAAGGAUUACUUACACUACUGAUACAAGAGAGUAUUUUCAUAGACACUUAAGUAAAAUACCAAAUGAAACUCUCAUAGCGGGUCAUAUUUAGUGAACUUGUUCCUUAACAAGUACCCAUAUAAUAUCUCCAAGUAUCUCGCAUACUUCAACCUGUGAGAUCAGUUGCUUACUUCCAAAAUAAGGAGGCUUAGCAUGUAUCAGCCUUUGAGCAUUAUCAAUGUCUUUUUUUUUUUACAAUACAAUGACCAAGAACAUAUUUAGGAAUAAGGCUUUGAUGCAUAAAAAUCUCUUAAUUGUAAUCUUUAUAAUUUCUUUGUAAGGCUAUUAUAUUCCAAGGAUUUUAUCUAUAUAAGUCUCUCAUAACUCUUUAUAAAUAAACUUAUGGAUAAAAAAAUACCUCAUACAUUAUAUAAAAUAUCCAUAAUGUAUUUAACAUAAAAUAUAACUAAUUAAUGUAACAUUUUACAAGUACAAAACGAUUGGCUUGUAAGGUUUACACUACCAACAUAAAGACAAAGGAUAGACUAUUUGAUACUGUAUCAAUGCAAUAUAUUUAAGGUUGACACAUGAUGUUGCUUCUGAGAGCUAUGAAAUAAUUGUAAAUAUGAGUUACAAAGUGAAAAAAGUUGAAGUAUGCUUAUCGAGGGAUUUGAGAUACUCAACUUAAUGUGAUCAAAUAAGUUUAGGGCAUACAAGAUACUAUAUUUUUAAAGAGAUGAUGGCUCUAUGCUAGCUCUAAGGAGGUUUUAGAAUAGAGCUCUCAAAAAUUCAAAUGAAGUACUAUCACGCAAUCAAUUAGCCAAUAUGAACUUGGCAAUGGGAGGCCGUGACAAGUCAUUUCCAUAUGCUUCUUUCGGAAAUAUGAACUUGGCAAUGGGACAAUUAAGAGAGUGGUUGGAGGACUUCGCCAUCAUCUGCACGCAGUAGAUGUUGAACUUUUUAGAAUAACACCCAUGAUAAUCACCCUAUUUGGAUAGGAAUAUACUUUACCAUUUUAUCUUGGUAAUGCAAACUGUAAGUAGGUAUAAGGUCUUUCAUUAAAAUAGAACUACAGCUAACCAAAAAAAAAAUUAAGGUGAAAACCAAAGUCUCCCUUCCUUAGAAAAAAAUCAAUCUCAAGGUUUUUAUAUUAUGAAAAGUGUGUUUCUUGCUUGAUUUUAGAGUAAUUUUUCACCUCGAGUUUUUAGGGAUCAAUAGGUUCAUAAAAUGUCCAAAAUCAGAAUUCUGAAAUAACUUUGCAUUACUAUUGAAAAAGUCGAAGCCUGGUACAAGUUUAAUCAAAGUAAAAUUAUUUCUUAAUUUUUAUAAAUCCGUAUAUUUUUCCUACAAACUAAAAAUUAAAUCAUUUAAAGAACCAAUCCUGAUCUCGGAUUUUGGGUAUACUUGAGCAAUUGGAUGAAAUUGGACAGAGGACAAUUGUUGAACAAAAGAUACUAGGACUUAUUAUUAUCAAGACAACACGCACACUGCCUCUUCUAAUAAACAAACAAGCAAAAUAAUAAAUUUAAGCAACUUGCUUGGGACCAAGAACCAUCCCUUAAGAGAGAACAGAUGAGCAUAAAAACCCCCCCAAUGCAACUUUAACACUGUGCCACAUGCCAAUGUAUAUUUAGCCACAUGGCAAGUUGUCAUUGGUUGGUCAUUUCCAUUCCCCGGUCCCAAGCCUCACCCACAUGACACCAUCCUUAUUGUAACUACAUAGAAACUAAUUGACUUGACAUGCAAACUUAGCUAACAGUAGCCACUAGACAGACUUCCAUUGAUGAUUGAUCUGUAUCUCACAAGCUUAUUACUCAGUCUUCUCAGCUGGGGCUUCUGUUUCAACCUUCUCCUCAGCUUCAGCUGGUUUUUCUUCUUCCUUAGCAACUUCCUCUUUGGGUGCUUCAACUGGGGCCUCUGCUUCUGGUUCUGCUGCUGCCGCUUCGCCAGACUCCGUAGUUUCUUUGGUUUCUUCAGCAGGUUGCUCAGUGGUCUCCUUGCUCUCCUCGACAACUACUGGCUCCGGUACUGUUUCCUUAGGAGUGUCCUCUUCUUUUUUCUCAACCUCUGGCUCCUCAGUGACAACCUUGGCCUCUUCUACCACCUCCUUGGUUUCAACUUUGGUCGAGGCUUCAGGCUCCGGAGCCACGGGUUGUUCAGAUGCUGCUUCAGGCUCUGCUUCCUUUGGCUCUUCAGCAACAGGUUCCGUUGCAGGAGCUACGGCGGCUACCUCUUCUGUUGUAGUUUCUUGAACCUUGAUUGAUUCUUCAGUUUUCUCCUCAUGAAGUGCAGUUUGAACUGAUGCAACCUAUAGAACACAUCAAGUAAGAAAACAUACUUAUUACUGAAUUGAUUAUUGGGCGAUCAGAAUCAUUUGCCACUUAAGUGAAGAGUCAGAAAUGUGAAUUGGAUACAAACAGUCUUGUAAAUCUUGUUUGAACUAAGCUUUUUAGUAUAGUGAUCAGCUAGUAACUAUUACAAGUGAUUGCAUUAUAUCCUUGUCUUACUGUAUAUAAAGAGAAUCAAGUUUCUAAAAGAUGAAGUCUAACAAAAUACGUAGCGCAAAAAGGGAUUUCAAUAACGAAUAUUAAGAUCAUAAUCGUUUGACUUGAUCUUCAUUUUCACUAUUCCAAUCAGCUCCAUCCUUAAAACUAGAUCAGGUGACAAAUGGUAUAAAACUAGGUGCAUAGAUGAGCUAAUGAACGCAAAUGAAUUGAAAAACCAAUCUCAAAUGGAGAACUUAAUAAGAAUUCAAUACCUCAGCAGCAG